UCUGUGCCAGUGGGGCUAUAAAGCCACCAACUCUUGUUUGUAAUCGACAUGGAUAUGCUAUGAGCUAAAUUGCUUAAUCAUACAUCUUAUAGUAAUACAAACUCUAGCAGGGCUACUUUCCCCUUUGCCUCAACGAGAUCUGAGAACUUGUUCCUUGUUCUAAUGCCCUGUGGGGUGUGACGAUUGGUAUCAUGAGCGCAGUCUUUCCUCAGCGACGAGAUAGAUCAGAGCUGCCGCAGUGAUUUCCCACCCUUCCCUCCCUUUUUCUCGGCAGCGAUGGCGGCGUGUGGCGGCUGAGUUGUGGUGGCGUGGUGGCGGUAGACACAUUCGACGGCAACUCGUUGAGCGCGAGUGGUUGGUUGAGCAUCUUGCUUUUCCAAUAAUAUCCCAGGUCAAGCUACGGGUGGUGCUAUUCCGGAGGCGUAAUCGCACACGGCGGCAGGAUUCGGUGCCAGAUCGGGUUCCCAGUGAGGUUCGGCGGUAAAAUUCCUCUCUGCAUCCACUGAAUCGGUAUGGGGCGCUCUAAAUCAAGCCUCGAGGAGUCUGAUGUAGUUGAUCUGCUUGCGAUGAAAGGUAAAUUUCUGCAGCAUCGUGAAGAAACAACAUAUCUGAGGGGUGAAGUGGAUGACUUGCGUAAGGAUGUAGAGAGCAUCAAUCUCAAACAGGACACCAUGGUCUCGGUACUGGAUGGAGUACAGAAAGAAGUCUCUACUCUGAAUUUGUAACUAGCUACUAUGGCGGAUGUGCUCAAGUCCCUCUGACCUACUGAAGCUUCGAGUUCUGCCCAACAGGGCAAACUAUCUCCUGAUCAAACUACAAUGCUCCCUCUACAACAGCCACAGAAGGAAACAGUGGCAGUGGACAGAACUUUAACUGAAGAAAUGCGCAUGCGUCUCAUGGUGGAACAAGAAAAAACAAGGUAGGUAGCUUCUCAGAUCCCACCUCAUCUAGCACCAAUUCAGGUACCUAGAACUACCACCCCACCAGGUUUCAGAGCAAACCAGAUGAUGGAGAUCCAUUCAGGCAAUGUCACACCAACAACAUCAUACAAAACUGCACGUACUCUCGGGUUUCAUGGUUUUCAACCACCUGGUGUUUGUCAAAAUUGGGACGAUUUCUAGAAGCAGUACGAGCAGGAGAUGCGUACACAGUUCCUCAAAAGCAUGACCAAAGGCCCACGCAUGGACUUCCCUCGUUUUUAUGGAGAUAACCCAGCUGGCUAGAUUCGCCGAUGUGAAAAAUACUUUCAGAUGCCAGGAGCACCUGUAGAAUACAAAGUUAACUUGGCACAACUCUAUGUAACAGGCAGAGUUGAUAUGUGGUUGCGUCGCUCAGGAAUCUUGAAGAAACAUUUAACAUGGGCACAAUUAUGUGAGGAGAUAUUGCGCAAAUUCUCUUCAGCCAUUUCUUAUGAACUAACUGAUAAAUUCAAUACACUCAAGCAUAGCACCUUCACUGUUUCAGAAUACACCAGUCAGUUUGAAGAAUUGAUGGCUGAGGUCCAAGCACAUAACCCCAUCAUGGACGAGAACUGGUUUGUCAGAUGUUAUGUGAAUGGGCUUCGUUCCCAGAUCAAGUUCCAAGUGAGAGCCUUAAGACCCACAAAUCUGACAGAAGCCUACUGGUUAGCAGUAGACUUGGAAAAAGGUGCAGCUAAGAAGAAGUCAUACACCAGCUACUAUGGGACCAACAAAUACUCCACAGGUUACCAGAAAACUCACACUUCCCUCCGUGAAAAACCAACAUAAUCCAAACCAACUGUUGUCAAUCAAAGAGCUAGAGAGCCUGGCAAGUGUUGGAGAUGUGGAGAUGCUUGGUUCCAUGGCCACAAAUGUAAAAUGGCUCCUGUCCUAAAUGUCCUUACUCGAGAAGAUCCAACUAAACAACCAAAAGAAUGUGAAGAAAUGGAUGAACAAGAUGAUGAAGAGCAAGUACAUCAAGAAUAGCAUUGCAUGACACUCUUUGCACGAGCUAUGCAAUCUGACAAUGUCAACACCAUCUCUCUUCUGGUUCAGAUUGGGGGAAAACAAGGAAUUGCAUUAGUGGAUUCUGGGAGCAACUCAACUUUCAUCAGCCUAAAGUUUGCCCUAUCAACCAACUUCAUUAUACUGAAAGAUACUUCAAGAGCAGUAGCAGUUGCUGGAGGAGGGUGUCUGUUUCUUAUGUCACAUCUACAACCUUCAUUGCAGGCAACACCAAGUUCCAACAACAAUUCAGAGUACUAUAUCUCCCUGGACAUGACAUAGUACUAGGAAGUGAUUGGAUGGCCCAACACAGUCCUCUGGCCUUUCACUACAACCCAAGAAAAAAUUAUGUCAUGUUGGAUAAACAAACACCUAUUAUUAUUAAAGCCUGUGAUACCCUUGCUGAUGCAACUCCCAUAGAGGCAGCUGAACUGGACAAACUCUUGGCAUUGGGUGCUCCUGGUUAUGUGUUACACCUCAUCAGAUAUACUUCAGUGAAAGCAUGAGUACAACAAGAAGUUCCACACAUGUAAAGGAAGUACUUCAACAGUUCCCUGAAGUUUUCAAGAACCCAAAGGUUUGCCACCCAAAAGAGCACAUGACCACAAGAUUCCCCUAAAAGAAUAGGCAGUCCCACCAAACUCCAGACCUUAAAGAGUACCACACAUGCAGAGGAAUGAGUUAGAGAGGCAGAUUGACUCUAUGCUCAGAGACAAAAUUAUAAGAGCUAGUGAAAGCCCAUAUUCCUCUCCUGCAAUUCUUGUCAUGAAGAAGGAUGGCACUUGGAGAAUGUGCAUCGACUACAGAAAACUGAAUGUUGCUACUGUCAAAAAUAAGUUCCCCAUACAUGUGAUUGAGGACUUGUUGGAUGAAUUACAUGGUGCUACUUAUUUUACUAAAUUGGACCUCAGAUCUGGCUAUCAUCAGGUGAGGAUGAAUGAACAGGGCAUACCCAAAACUGCUUUCAGAACAUACUUUGGUCAUUAUGAGUUUCUGGUUAUGCCCUUUGGACUUGCUAAUGCACCUCGGACUUUCCAAGCCCUCAUGAACAACAUCUUUGGUCCCUAUUUAAGAAAAUUUGUGCUGGUAUUUUUUGAUGAUAUCCUCAUCUUCAGCAAAUCCCUAUGUGAACACUUGGAACACCUACAAAUUAUCCUGCAACUCCUGGAAGAACAUCAGCUCUUUGCCAAGCUUUCCAAGUGUGUUUUUGCUGCUAAGCAAGUGGAUUACCUAGGCCAUAUUAUUAGUGGUGAAGGAGUUUCCACUCAUCCUGCAAAAGUCACAGCAGUUGCUGAAUGGCUAGUACUCACUACCCCUAAACAGCUCAGAGGAUUCUUAGGCCUGUGUGGAUACCACAGAAGAUUUGUUAAGAACUUUGGCACCAUUGCCACACCGCUGCAUGAUAUACUGAAAAAGACAGUUUUUGUUGGACAGACCUCCAAACCACUGCUUUCAAGAACCUGAAACAGGCCAUGAUACAGGCACCAGUGCUAGCACUUCCUGAUUUCUCUGAACCAUUUACUUUGGAAACAGAUGCAUAUGGAGCUGGAUUGGGGGCAGUCAUGAUGCAGAAAGGUAGACCUAUGGCUUAUUACAGCUAUACCCCGUGCCCAAAAAAUGUUGCACUAUCAACAUAUGAAAAAGAAGCACUAGCAAUCCUUGCUUCCCUCAAAAGGUGGAGGCAUUAUUUCCUUGGGAAUGACCUCAUCAUCAAAACUGAUCACCAGAGUCUGCAAUUCAUGACAGACCAAAAGAUCACCACAAGUAUCCAGCACAAACACAUGCUAAAACUGCUAGAAUUCAACUUCACUCUCCAAUACAAGAAGGGCAAGGAAAACAUUGUUGUUGAUGCUCUCUUGCUACCUCUCGAGCUUGCGUUGGUUUUUCCCUUGAAGAGGAAAGGGUGAUGCAGCACAGUAGCGAUAAGUAUUUCCCUCAGUUUGAGAACCAAGGUAUCAAUCCAGUAGGAGUAUCAAGAUGAGGGACCAAUGUACCUACGAAAAAAAAAACUUGCACCCAACGCUAUAAAGGGGUUGUCAAUCCCUUCACGAUUAUUUGCAAGGUGAGAUCUGAAGGUGAAAAGUGCAACAAAGUAAUUUUGUAGAUCUGAAUAUAUGAUGUGAAGUAGACCCGGGGGCAUAGUGUUCACUAGAGGCUUCUCUCAUGAUAGCAAGUAUUACGGUGGGUGAACAAAUUACUGUCGAGCAAUUGAUAGAAUUGCGCAAAGUCAUGACGAUAUCUAAGGCAAUGAUCAUACAUAUAGGCAUCACGUCCGAGACAAGUAGACCGAUACUUUCUGCAUCUACUACUAUUACUCCACACAUCGACCGCUAUCCAGCAUGCAUCUAGUGUAUUGAGUUCAUAACAAACAGAGUAAAGCCUUAAGCAAGAUGACAUGAUGUAGAGGGAUAAAUUCAUGCAAUAUGAUAUAAACCCAUCUUUUUACCCUUGAUGGCAACAACACGAUGCGUGCCUUGCUACCCCUUCUGUCACUGGGUGAGGACACUGCACGGUAUGAACCCAAAACCAAGCACUUCUCCCAUUGCAAGAAUUAUAGAUCAAGUUGGCCAAACGAAACCCACAACUCGAAGAGAAUUACAAGGAUACAAAAUCAUGCAUAUAAGAGAUCAGAGGAGACUCAAAUAAUAUUCGUAGAUAAUCUGAUCAUAAAUCCACAAUUCAUCGGAUCUCGAGAAACACACCGCAAAAGAAAGUUACAUCGGAUAGAUCUCCAUGAAGAUCAUGGAGAACUUUGUAUUGAAGAUCCAAGAGAGAGAAGAAGCCAUCUAGCUAUUAGCUAUGGACCCAAAGGUCUGUGGUGAACUACUCAUGCAUCAUCGGAGAGGCAAUGGUGUUGAUGAAGAAGCCCUCCGUGUCCGAAUCCUCCUCCGGCAGGGCACCAGAACGGUCCCCAAAUGGGAUCUUGCGGAGACAGAAGAUUGCGGCGGCGGAAAAGUAUUUUCGUGGCUCUCCCCUUUGGUUUCGGGAUUUUAGAGAAUUUAUAGGCGAAAGAGGUAGGGCAAAGGAGCCACGUGGGGCCCACAAGCCUGUCAGGCGCGCCCCCGAGGCCGCGGUUAGGGGGCUUGUGAUCUCCCCCGAGGUCUCCUGCCUUGGUUCUCAAGUCCCCUGCGUAUCUUCUGUUAUGGAAAAAAUCACCCCGCAUGUUUUAUUCCAUUUGGACUCCGUUUAAUAUUCUUCUUUGAAAAAAGUCAAAAACACGGAAAAACAGAAACUGGCACUUGGCACUGAGUUAAUAGGUUAGUCCCAAAAAUAGCAUAAUCAUGCGUAUAAAACAUCCAAAGUUGACAUGAUAAUAGCAUGGAACCAUAAAAAAUUAUAGAUACGUUGGAGACGUAUCAAGCAUCCCCAAGCUUAACUCCUGCUCGUCCUCGAGUAGGGAAGUGAUAAAGACCGAAUUUUUGAUGUGGAAUGCUACCUAACAUAUUUGUUAUUUGUAACUUAUUUCUUGUGGCAUGAAUGUUCAGAUCCGUAAGAAUCAAAACAAUAGUUUACUAUUGACAUGAAAACAAUAAUACUUCAAGCAUACUUAGCAAAGUAAUCGUGAACUUUUGAAAUAACAAGGCCAAAGAAAAUUAUCCCUAAAAAUCAUAUAGUCUGGCUAUGCUCUAUCAUCCUCACACAACGAAUUUAAAUCAUGCACAACCCCGGUAUUGGCCAAGUAAUUGUGUUCGCACUCUUACUUUCUCAAACCUUUUCAACUCUCACGCAAUACAUGAGCGUGAGCCAUGGAUAUAACACUAUAGGUGGAAUAGAGUGUGGUGGAGGUUGUGAGGCAAAAAGGAGGAGAUGGUCACAUCGACUCGGCGUAUCAAUGGGCUAUGGAGAUGCCCAUCAAUAGAUAUCAAUAUGAAUGAGUAGGGAUUUCCAUGCAACGGAUACGCUAGAGCUAUAAGUGUGUGAAAGCUCAAAAAGAAAACUAGUGGGUUUGCACCCAACUUGCUUGCUCACGGGGUGUGCACCCAACUUGCUUGCUCACGAAGACCUAGGGCAAUUUUGAGGAAGCCCGUCAUUGGAAUAUACAAGCCAAGUUAUAUAAUGAAAAUUGCCACUAGUACAUGGAAGUGAAAAACAAGAGACUCUCUAUCAUGAAGAGCAUGGUGCUAUUUUGAAGCACAAGUGUGGAAAAAGAUAGUAGCAUUGUCCCUUCUCUCUUUUUCUCUCAUUUUUUUGUUUGGGCUCUUUGGCCUCUUUUUUUUCAUUUUUUGGUGGGCAACUUUGGCCUCUUUUUUUAUUUCCUCACAUGGGACAAUGCUCUAAUAAUGAUGAUCAUCACACUUUUAUUUACUUACAACUCAAUACUUAGAGAAAUGAUGACUCUAUAGGAAAUGCCUCCGGCAGUGUAACGGGAUGUGCAAUGAUCUAGCUUAGCGUAUGACGUUGAAACAUCUCGCUAGCUAUCUUACGAUCAUGCAAUGGCAAUAUGAAAGUGACGGCACAUGUCAUGAGACGGAACGGUGGGAGUUGCAUGGCAAUAUAUCUCGGAAUGGAUAUGAAAAUGACAUAAUAGGUAGGUAUGGUGGCUGUUUUGAGGAAGGUAUAUGGUGGGUUUGUGCACCGACGAAAGUUACACGGUACUAGAGAGGCUAGCAAUGCUGUAAGGGUGAGAGUGCGUAUAAUCCAUGGACUCACAUUAGUCAUGAAGAACUCAUAUACUUAUUGCGAAAGUUUUAUUAGUAAUCGAAACAAAGUGCUAAACGCAUACUCCUAGGGGAAGGGUUGGUAGGUGUUAACCAUCGCGCGAUCCCGACCGCCACACAAAGGAUGACAAUCAAUAAAUCAAUUAUGCUCCGACUUCCUAACAUAGCGGUUCACCAUACGUGCAUGCUACGGGAAUCACUAACCUCAACACAAGUAUUUCUAGAUUCACAACACCCUACUAACAUGAUUCUAAUAUUACCAUAUCUAAAUCUCGAAAUUAAUUAUGAGGAAUCAAACUUCUCUUACUAAUCAAUGCACUUGAAUAUGAAAGUUUUUAUUAUAUCCUCUUUGGAUCCCUAUCAUCUUUAGGACUAAUUUCAUAACACACGCCAAUUACCAAGUUACUUAGAGAGAGCACUCUCAAAAAGAUAUAAGUGAAGAUCGAGAGUUUUUAUUUUUCAAAAUAUGACACCGCCGUGCUCUACAAAGAUUUAAGUGAAGCACUAGAGCAGAAUUAUCUAGCUUAAAAGAUAUAAGUGAAGCACAUGCGAGCUAAAUUGCCUAACUCAAAAUAUAUAAGUGAAGCUCAUUGAAUAUUCUAGCAAAUUCACGAUGAGUGCAUGUCCCUCUCAAAAAGUUGUGCAGCAAGGUUGAUUGUGACCAAACAAAAAAGCAUAAACUCCUAUAAUACACGACGCUCCAAGCAAAACACAUAUCGAAUAAAAAUGUAGCUCCAAGUAACAUUACCUAUGAAUUGAAGAUGAAAGAGGGGAUGCCUUCCCGGGGCAUCCCCAAGCUUAGGCUUUUUUGUGUCCUUGAAUUUGGCUUGGGAUGUCUUGGGCAUCCCCAAGCUUAAGCUCUUUCCACUAUUUUUUCCAUUGUCCAUAAGAGCAUCACCCAAAACUUGAAAACUUCACAACACAAAACUUAAACAGAGACUCAUGAUAUCAUUAGCAUAAGAAAACAAACCACCACUCUUUAGGUACUGUAGUAAACUUGAUUUAAAUUUAGAUUGAUGUUAUAUUACUGUAUUCUCACUUUUCCAUGGCUAGUACCAUCCGAUACUAACCAUAGUUUCAUCAAAAUAAGCAAUCAACACAACAAAAACAGAAUCUGUCAAAAAACAGACCAGUCUGUAGCAAUAUGUAUACUUCGUAUACCUCUGGUAUCCCAACAAUUCUGAACAAUUAUGAAAGUUAGGGAAAUUUGCAUAUCAACCAACAGGAAAAAGAAUCAACUCCAAAGCUCUUUCUGGAUAGGAAUUAAAAAUAAUUUCGUGAGCACAAAGUUUCUGUCUUUUUCAGCAUGAUCAAACAACGAGCACCAAAACUAAUCAUAAAGGUUCUACUUGGCACAGACACUAAUUAAAACAUAAAAACGCAAUCAUAACAGAAUCAUGAUGGUGUGGACACAACAAAAUAGAAAGUAAAAAGCAAAAAUAAAUUUAUUCAUUGGGUUGCCUCCCAACAAGCGCUACCGUUUAACGCCCUUAGCUAGGCAUUGAUAAUUCAAUGAUGCUCACAUAAACGAUAGCAAUCGGACACGAAGAGAGCAUCAUGAAACAUGUGACAAACACAUCUAAGUCUAACAUACUUCCUAUGCAUAGGCAUUUUAUAGGAAAACAAAUUAUCAAGACAAGCAAUAACUACCAUAUGCAAGGAAGAAGAAAGAGACAAGAUCUCAACAUAACGAGAGGUAAUUUAGUGAUAUGAAAAUUUCUACAACCAUAUUUUCCUCUCUCAUAAUAAUUACAUGUGGGAUCAUAUUCAAAUUCAACAAUAUAACUAUCACAUAGGAUAUUCUUUUCAUGAUCCACAUGCAUGCAAAGUUGACGCUCUUCCAAAAUAGUGGGAUUAUCAUCAACUAAAGUCAUGACUUCUCCAAACCCACUUUCAAUCUUAUUGCAAACAUUAUUAUCAAUAUCAUAUUCAUCAUGAGGCUUAAACAAAUUUUUAAGUUCGUAAGAAAAAUCAUCACCCCAAUCAUGAUCAUUGCAACAAGUAGUGGACAUAGCAAAACUAGCAUCUCCAAGCUUAGGGUUUUGCAUAUUUUUAGCAUGAUUGUCAUUAAUAGAAUUUAUAGCGAAACCACUGCAAUCAUGCUUUUUAUUCAAGGAGCCCUCAUGAAGCACUUCAUAAAUUUCUUCAUCACAAUUUUCAGAUUCACGCAUCUCAACCAAAACUUCAUAAAGAUAAUCUAGUGCACAAAACUCACUAGCAAUUGGUUCAACAUAAUUGGAUCUCUUAAAGAGAUUAGCAAGUGGAUGAGGAUCCAUAUCAAUAGAUUUUUAGCAAGCGAAGAUGCAAGCAAAUUGAAGGCACAUAGCACACAAGCAAAGGAAAGGCAAACGAAAAAGGCAAAUAUUUUUGUAAAUUUUGUUUUUUCAGAAGUGGGGGAGAGGAAAACGAGAGGCAAAAGGCAAAUAAUGUAAAUGCAAGAGAUGAGUUUGCGAUAGUUACUUGGUAUGCUUCACUUUGAAUACUCCCCGGCAACGACGCCAGAAAUCCUUCUUGCUACCUCUUGAGCUUGCGUUGGUUUUUCCCUUGAAGAGGAAAGGGUGAUGCAGCACAAUAACGAUAAGUAUUUCCCUCAGUUUGAGAACCAAGGUAGCAAUCCAGUAGGAGUAUCAAGACGAGGCACCAAUGUACCUGUGCAAAAACAAACAAACUUGCACCCAACGCUAUAAAGGGGUUGUCAAUCCCUUCACGAUUAUUUGAAAGGUGAGAUCUGAAGGUGAAAAGUGCAACAAAGUAAUUUUGUAGAUCUGAAUAUAUGAUGUGAAGUAGACCCGGGGGCCAUAGUGUUCACUAGAGGCUUCUCUCAUGAUAACAAGUAUUACGGUGGGUGAACGAAUUACUGUCGAGCAAUUGAUAGAAUCGUGCAAAGUCAUGAUGAUAUCUAAGGCAAUGGUCAUACAUAUAGGCAUCACGUCCGAGACAAGUAGACCGAUACUUUCUGCAUCUACUACUAUUACUCCACACAUCGACCACUAUCCAGCAUGCAUCUAGUGUAUUGAGUUCAUAACAAACAGAGUAACGCCUUAAGCAAGAGGACAUGAUGUAGAGGGAUAAAUUCAUGCAAUAUGAUAUAAACCCCAUCUUUUUACCCUUGAUGGCAACAACAUGAUGCGUGCCUCGCUACCCCUUCUGUCACUGGGUGAGGACACCGCACGGUAUGAACCCAAAACUAAGCACUUCUCCCAUUGCAAGAAUUAUAGAUCAAGUUGGCCAAACGAAACCCACAACUCGAAGAGAAUUACAAGGAUACGAAAUCAUGCAUAUAAGAGAUCAGAGGAGACUCAAAUAAUAUUCAUAGAUAAUCUGAUCAUAAAUCCACAAUUCAUCGGAUCUCGACAAACACACCGCAAAAGAAAGUUACAUCGGAUAGAGCUCCAUGAAGAUCAUGGAGAACUUUGUAUUGAAGAUCCAAGAGAGAGAAGAAGCCAUCUAGCUACUAGCUAUGGACCCGAAGGUCUGUGGUGAACUACUCACGCAUCAUCGGAGAGGCAAUGGUGUUGAUGAAGAAGCCCUUCAUGUCUGAAUCCCCCUCCGGCAGGGCACCAGAACGGUCCCCAGAUGGGAUCUUGCGGAAACAGAAGCUUGCGGCGACGGAAAAGUAUUUUCGUGGCUCUCCCUUUAGUUACGGGAUUUUAGAGAAUUUAUAAGCGAAAGAGGUAGGGCAAAGGAGCCACGUGGGGCCCACAAGCCUGCCAGGCGCGUCCCCCCAGGUUGCGGCUAGGGGGCUUGUGAUCUCCCCCGAGGUCUCCUGCCUUGGUUCUCAAGUCCCGUGCGUAUCUUCUGUUAUGGAAAAAAUCAUCCCGCAGGUUUUAUUCCGUUUGGACUCUGUUUAAUAUUCUUCUCUGAAAAAGGUCAAAAACACGGAAAAAACAGAAACUAGCACUUGGCACUCAGUUAAUAGGUUAGUCCCAAAAAUAGCAUAAUCAUGCAUAUAAAACAUCCAAAGUUGACAUGAUAAUAGAAUGGAACCAUAAAAAAUUAUAUAUACGUUGGAGACGUAUCAUCUCUCUAGAAGAAAUUCCCUCAUGGCUAUCUCUAUGGUUAUACAACAAUGGAUUUCUGUAGUAGAACAAUCCUAUGCUCAGGAUAACACAUGCCAGUCCAUGUUGGAAAGACUGUUAUUGGCUCCGACUCAUUCUGAAAACCAGAACACCCUGCAUUCAGGGAUCAUUAGGCACAAAGGAAAGAUCUAUGUGGGCAAAGAUGUGGACGUGAGAACAAAAUUACUAACAACACUCCAUGCAUCUGCCAUUGGAAGACAUUCUAGAAGGAAAGCUACCUACCACAUAAUCAAGCAAAUAUUCUAUUGGCCAGGCCUGAAGCAAGCAGUAGAUCAAUUUGUGGCAGAAUGCCCAACAUGCCAGAAAAAGGGAAAACUACCCCUAUCCAGGCUACUUGGAUCCUCUCCAAAUUCCUGACAUGGUAUGGACACACUUGAGCAUGGACUUCAUUGAAGGACUACCAAAAUGAAAUGGACACGAUGUUAUUUUGGUGGUAGUGGACAGGCUGUUCAAAUUUGCACAUUUUAUCCUUGUGUCUCGCCCCUACACUGUCCAAACUGUGGCUCAAGCUUUCAUUGAUAAUGUGAUCAAACUUCAUGGUCCACCACUGGCCAUUGUGUCUGAUCGUGAUCACAUUUUCACUAGUCAACUGUGGCAAGAUAUCUUCAAGGGCAUGGGAAUAGACCUGCGUUACAGCUCUGCUUACCACCCUGAGUCUGAUGUCCAAACUGAACAUGUGAACCAGUGUAUUGAGAACUAUCUGCGUUGUCUCAGCUCAAUGCAACCGAAGAAAUGGGUAAAACACCUAGCAAUGACAGAAUACUGGUACAACACAUCCUACCACAGCUCCCUCCAGUAAACACUGUUUGAAGCAGCUUAUGGCUACCCACCUCCCAACAUCUGCGAGAAUAUCUUACCAGACAAUAUGACAGAGGACGCUCGGCACUUCUUUACUGACAGAGAGGCACUUCUCCCGCAUUUGAAAAAGCAAUCUCACUGCUUCUCAAGCUUGUAUGAAAAAUAUGCCGACCGGAAGCACACCGAAAGGACCCUGGAAGUAGAAGAUAUGGUUUACCUGAAAAUGCAGCCUUAUCGCCUGAAUGCCUUCGGACUGCGUAGUCACAUCAAGCUCCAAAGUAAGUACUACGACCCUUUGUGCAUCCUUGCUAAAGUGGGGCAAGUCGCCUACGAACUUCUCUAGCCAGAAAGCACGAGCAUCCAUCCAGUCUUCCACAUCAGUAAACUGAAGAAGCACGUGGGACAAAAAGCCAUUCCGUGUUCUGAUCUUCCUUUAGUACGAUCGGAUGGAAUGAUCCUCACUGAACCGGUUAUGGUUGUCGUCUUUCUUCGUCAACCCAAACACUCACCUCACCUCAAAUCGUUGGUUUUUCCAUCAUUUUUGUAAGCAUCUGGGACACUAUGUAUUCCAUCAUCGACACCUCUUCGAUGACGUCUUCUUCGAGUUUGGCUAGCUUCCUCUAUUCCCUUGUACUAUUCUUUUUUAACUUGAUUGACAUUCAAUUAACUUACAAAGAUAUAUGAUAUAUAUCAUUUUAAAAGGAACACCAAGAACUUGUGUAAUUAAAACUAACAUGGCAUUACUUGUUAAGUGCAUAGGUCUGGUUUUCACACAAUGGUAAAACCAGGGACAAUGUUGAUUUUCACAAGCCUAAAGAACCAAAGAGAAUGAAGGUUUGCACAUGCAUUCAUGUGAAUAAGAUAAAAAAAACAGCGCUUGCGAGAGAUGAAAAUGAUACACUUGUUUAUGCACAUGGACAGAAUGGCGUCUCUCUCCUCAUUCCUGGUGGGUACAGUACACAUUAUCACACUUCACAAUGGCUACAUGACCGAGUGUAAAUAUUACUCCAAUGUGAAUAUUACUCCAAAACCACGGUUGUGCUCACUCCUAUCUACAAACAGUUCUCAUAAAAUGUUUUUACCAUUGUGACCUUACAGUCACUCGAUGCCUUCACCAAACAGCCAUGGCCGCUUUGUCGAGUGUUCAUGUCCCCGUUCUUCUUCUUGGUCUCCUAGUCUAUGGCGUUCGCGAUGGAAAUGGUGAGGGCGAUGGGCAGAAAAUACCCGGGCCUCUCAAAGAACUUGGUUUGUUGAAGAAUCCCAUCGAUGCCAUCAAAAUUAUACAAAGUGAGGAUGGCAUGGCUCUUCAGCCCAACGAGUACCAGCCUGGGCCAGUUACUGCAAGUCCAUGUUGUUCACCUCCCAACUAUCCACUGGGCCAAUUUUGUGGCUCACUUUGGUGCAAUCGCUUGUCGCAUAACUACAAUGUAUAAAUCAGUGUGAUGAGAAAUAAAAACAUGUAUGCUUUUAAAAACUAUAAUUGAUAAGGUACAACUGCACAUGUAGUAUUCACGGAAGAAUAGAGGAGGUAGCAUGCCUCGUUAUUCCCUAGAAAAUCGACAACACUCCGUGUAUAAUAAGAGUUCAACCUCUAGAUUUAUAUAUCAUUAGUGCUUUAGUAUCCAUGACUUAUGACAACCAUAGCAAAAUUGAUGGCAAACUCUUGAAUGAACGUAUGUAUUAAUUAGCAUAUCACACGUAGAGUGUUGUUCCGUAAAGUAAUCUCUUCCAAUUCCAAGUAACCUUUAUUAAAACAGAAUGUACUUAACUAAUUUUACGAGCAAUAGCACAUCGAUGAUGUAAACUAAAUUAUCACCUGAAGUCUGAUGCCAAUAUGCUUGCAUGGCUGUUCUUCAUCACUUCUAAUCUUUUCCAAUAUAAAGGGAAAUGCUGGCAGAUGCCAAUAUUUUUGCUCGAUAGUUUGUAUUUAUGGGAUAUUACAGAACUAUAUAGUUUAGAUAAACUGAUCUAAGAAAGACUAUGAAAAAACACUGCAAUUUAGAUACUGUGACUUGUCACUAAUAAGAGUUGUGGUAACCAAUAUUUUCAUCAACUACACGUCUGCACCUCACCUGUAGGCGUCUUAUUCUAAAAUUGAUGGUGAAAAGUCCAUACCCCCGCCUUUCGUCAAAGUAAUGGAAUUUUAAUCAGUACAACAAAUCAUUCACGUAUGAAUUGGUGUGCAUUGCUAUGCGUCUAGGCUUUUGGAACAUAACCAAAAAAAUGCAUGGCGGAUUUCAAGUAAUAGUCAUCUGCCCCUUGUUUCUGGGGAGAAGCUUUUGUAAAGGUACCAUAAUAUGUGUAGCAUUGUAAGUAGUAUAUGUACUUCAGUGUUGCAGCACCAUCGUUCUUGCAGAACUUGCCAACUGAGGAAGUGGCAUUUCACCUAUUAGUAUCCUCACACGAUGCAAGAUCUUUCAACAUCAAAGACAUUAUCAACUGUAAAAUGAUUCAGAUAUGAGUAAAAUUAAUAGGGCACUUCUAAUGAUAAUAAAAUAGCACGUCUUCUUAAGGAAAUUAUAGGCAGACAAACAUAAGCAGAAACAUGAGCACCCAUUUGUAGGCUGAAACAAACUUGAUCUUACUGUUUCUAUAUACGUAUGAAUAUAUAAUUCAAAGCCAUAUAAAAUCGUAUGGGCUUAAAAUACACUAUCACCACAACCAGACAAAUGAUAAAGAAAGGGUAAUGUUUCUUUUUUCCUUACCUUAAGACCUCAGCAGCCCAAUUACUAUUCCUCUACAUCAAAUAUCCAACCACAACCUAUAGAAACGAAUCACGUUACUCCUACAGUCCUUGUAUUGUAUCCCAUAUAACUAUAACUAAAGUGUUUUUCUAAUGCCCGUAAAGAUUAAGUUCUCAAGCUUAGUGAAAAAGAAAAAGCAUCAUAAUGUAGCAUCGUUCAACUUGUUACCUUGUAGUUAAGUAGAGAUCAUUUCGGCAAAAAAGUAGGUUGUUGUAUCUGGGCCUCGCCCGAACACAACCUGCAAUAGAUAAUGGUGUCAAGAAACAGACAAAUUAAUCUAUUAGUUUGCUUCUGAUAUAAGAAAUAAGCUUCAAGAUACGUGCAGUCCAUAAUUAUUUUAUGAAAAAUGGGGAAAAGUUAUUUAUUUACAAAUUCAGUUAGAGCCUAACUGAAUGUAAUAAAAUCUCUGAGGAGAAAAACACAUAAAAAAUGAUUAAAAAUAAGGAUUGAGCACAACCUGAGUGUUGCAUCUUCGACAGGGUAAUUGGUAAGACUUCAUGGUAGACCCAUCAUCAACCAAAGACCGUAAAAUAGUCAAUUUCAGUAGAAGAAAACCAAGAUCUAAGAAAUCAUUUUGAACCAGAGGAAAUACUAUGCCGACUUGAUUAACAUGGUUCUUGACCAUUAUAUAUGAAAUAUUGUAUACAUGAUAGCAAGGUAGCAUAUACGAAAUAACAAUAUGAACAAUAAAAAAAUACUACUCGAGCUGACCAAAAAAAGAAACUGAAACAGGAUUUUCAGAAUCCAUUACGUUCACUAACAGUGGAAAAGCAAAACAAGGACUAUAUCAAUAAGUUUGUAUUGGCUAUGUUAGACAAUAGCUUAGAACUUCAUCAAUUAGGAGAAUGAAUCAGGAUAAAAUAGUAAAAUCGAUGGCUAGUUAGUCCUCUCUUUUUGGUGCCUGAAGAUCUCAUUGAUAUUUAGAGAUAAGCAGGGAUUGCUUGUCCAAGUAGCAUGGUAAUCCUAAUUAGAUAAUUCUACUUAGUCAGGUGCUAUAUAAGUGUAUAUAAAUGCAUGUAGCUCCUUGCUUGUAAUCACCUUGAGUUGAAGAAAUAUAAACAUAGCUUGUUACCACCACCGGUUAAACAAAUAUGAAUAACAGGCACCUUAAUUACCUUCCAGUGGCUAUCCAAUCAGCUUUCACAUACUCGUGUCUUGCUAAUCCAUCAAUCAUUCCAGUGAUUACAAGGACAAGGAGCCAUCCAUAAACAUUUGUAACCAUUCUUGAAUCCUACAAAUUUGUGGUACCAUCCAUCAUCAGGAAGAAAGUAAGACAAAUGAUAUGAAAAAACCCUGAAAAGGAGGCGAAAGUGGGCUUUCCUUGCUGCUGUAGAUUGGCGUAGGUUCUGCUGCUGGGGCGUGCAGAAUUUUCAGUGAAGGGAUGUGGACAUGCUCCUCUCUUGUGUCGGCAAACUCCUCGAGUCCAAAUGCAAUCCCAACCUAGUGCCGAGUCACCGCAGCCAACGUCAUCUCCUCUUCCGCAGCAGCGAUUUCUUGUGGUCACGUGAGGCAAGGCAAGGCGCUCAAAAGGCUCCAUCAUUGGGGUCAAGGUGAAUUGAUGAGAAAUCCGGAAAUUUUCACAAAACAAAAAGUUUCCUGAACAAUCUGAAGAAUAUUUAUGCCCACAUACCUCGGGUCUCCCGGAGGGCUUGAGCUCAAGUAGCUUGAGCCUGUGCUCAUGAUUUGGUCGCGGUGGAGGCAAUCUCCUUUCCUCACAGAGGACCGGCAUCCUUUCCCCGAACCCCGCGUGCCACCGUGCCUUCCAGGCCUAAACCCCUGGGGCGAAUAGCUCCCAUGCGACGUCGUUGAGUUGAAUUAUCUUUCAUGCAACGUCAUUGGUUGUAAUGGCUCUUAUGCAACAUCUCCCAACGCAGAAAUAGCUCAAGCAAGACAACCCGUUUACGGGGCUAGCUGGCUGUUAGUUAGGCUGAGAUUUGGUUAGGACACUGGGGUUAUGUGCUCUGACUGGUGGGGUCCACCCAGGGCCACGUCGUCAAGAGUCAACCGUCCAUUACUCGACCGGUGACUGUCUGACCGUGCUCGACUCGACCGUGCUGGACUGGGCGAGCCGCACCGCCGUGAGCAUCUUCUCCGGCAGAGGCAUCAGUUUCUUCUCCGCGGUGGUGGAGCGCCUUUCUCGGCAGCGACAGAGCUAUUGCGUGUGAGUAUUUUCAAAACCCUAGUCCCAUUUCCUAGAAUUUUGGGCAGACCUGUGGCCUCAUGCUCUGUUUCUCCCGUUUCUUGGCGAUUUAGAAUCUCGAUUGGUUAGGAGCACGGGGGCUGAAUGAGAUGGAGCGAGGAGACAGAGCUUCAAAUCGGUAAUGCCGCCUUCUUUUCUCUUUUAGCUGUUAUCAAACUCAAUUUGGUAGUGACUGUAGCUUACACUGUUGCUGCCCAACAUUGACAAAACAUGGGAGGUUCCGGUUCUGCCACCACAUUCGCAAUUAUAGUGGAAUUUUUCCCAUGUAAAGCCAAGCUCAGUGAUGGCAGUGUCCAAGACAUUUAUAGAGAUACCACCGUGAGGUUGGAUGUCGAACUUGCAGAUGUUGAUCCCCAGGAAUUGGAGAGCAUGAAGGAGAAGGCCGUGGGCAAUUAGGUGGAGAGAAUUGGGGAGAGUAUUGUUUGGGGUCCACAACAAGAGGUAUCUCUGCAACGUUUUGACAACUAUUAUGGUGAAUAUGUUAGAAUUGAAGAUGGAGAAUCCAUGGUUGCUGAAAUUGAUCAGUGAUGUCCGUUAUGCUACUGCACAAAAGACCUUCCAGUGGCGCCAGAAAUGGGCAUGUUGACGACACCAGGAAUCCUUCUGCGUUGGUGUUCCCUCGAAGCGGAGAGGAUGAUGUAGCAUAGCGGAGGUAAGUAUUUCCCUCAGUUUGAGAACCAAGGUAUCAAUCCGGCGGAGGAGUAUCUCAAGAUCCUGCACAAACACAAAAGCUUGCACCCAACGCUAUGAAGGGGUUGUCAAUCCCUUAUAGAUUGUUUGCCAAGUGAGAACUGAAAGCAACAAAGUAACAAAGCAAAGUAAAAGCAGAGUUGUAAACGAUGGAUGUGAAUAGACCCGGGGGCCGUAGUGUUCACUAGUGGCUUCUCUCAUGAAAGCAAGUAGACGGUGGGUGAACAAAUUACUGUCGAGACAAUGAUAGAACUGUGCAGAGUCGUGAUGAUAUCUAUGCAAUGAUUAUUUCUAUAGGCAUCACGUCCGAAACAAGUAGACCGAUACUUUCUGCAUCUACUACUAUUACUCCACACGUCGACCGCUAUCCAGCAUGCAUCUACUGUAUUAAGUCCAUAAGAACAGACUAACGCCUUAAGCAAGAUGACAUGAUGUAGAGNNNNNNNNNNNNNNNNNNNNNNNNNNNNNNNNNNNNNNNNNNNNNNNNNNNNNNNNNNNNNNNNNNNNNNNNNNNNNNNNNNNNNNNNNNNNNNNNNNNNNNNNNNNNNNNNNNNNNNNNNNNNNNNNNNNNNNNNNNNNNNNNNNNNNNNNNNNNNNNNNNNNNNNNNNNNNNNNNNNNNNNNNNNNNNNNNNNNNNNNNNNNNNNNNNNNNNNNNNNNNNNNNNNNNNNNNNNNNNNNNNNNNNNNNNNNNNNNNNNNNNNNNNNNNNNNNNNNNNNNNNNNNNNNNNNNNNNNNNNNNNNNNNNNNNNNNNNNNNNNNNNNNNNNNNNNNNNNNNNNNNNNNNNNNNNNNNNNNNNNNNNNNNNNNNNNCUUGCUGCCCCUACUGUCAUUGGGAAAGGUCAUCACAUGGCAGAACCCAAAACCAAGCACUUAUCCCAUUGCAAGAAUCAUAGAUCUAGUUGGCCAAACAAAACCCAAGACUCGGAGAGACUUACAAGGAUAUCAAAUCAUGCAUAUAAGAAAUCAGCAAAGACUCAAAUAUAUAUUAUAGAUAAUCUGAUCACAAGUCCACAAUUCAUCGGAUCUCGACAAACACACCACCAAAGAAGAUUACAUCGGGUAGAUCUCCAUGAAGAUCAUGGAGAACUUUGUAUUGAAGAUCCAAGAGAGAGAAGAGGCCAUCUAGCUACUAACUACAGACCCGUAGGUCUGAAGUGAACUACUCACGAGUCAUUGGAAGGGCGAUGAUGAUGAUGAAGAAGCCCUCCAACUCCAAAGUCCCCUCCGGCAGGGCACCGGGAAGGGUCUCCAGAUGAGAUCUCGCGGAAACGGAAGCUUGCGGCGGCGGAAAAGUAUUUUCGAGGCUCCCUUGAUUUUUUGCGGAAUAUUUGGGAAUUUAUAGGCCAAAGACCUAGGUCAGGGGGCGGCCAAGGAGGCCACAAGCCUGCCCACCGCCGCCUCCCCCUGGUGGCAGAGUGGGGGCUUGUGGGCUCCCUGGAGCCCACCUGGCUUGUCCCAAAAGCCCCGUGGACUUAUUCCGUUUGGGAAAAAAAUCAUUUCGGGGUUUUUCUUCCGUUUGGACUCCGUUCCAAAAUCAGAUCUGAAAAGAGUCAAUAACACGGAAAAAACAGGAACUGGCACUUGGCACUGAAUUAAUAAGUUAGUCCCAAAAAGAUAUAAAAAGGUACAUAAAACAUACAAAGAAGGCAAGAUAACAACGUGAAAUCAUCAAAAAUUAUAGAUACGUUUGAGACGUAUCAAGCAUCCCCAAGCUUAACUCCUGCUCGUCCUCGAGUAGGGAAGUGAUAAGAAUGAAUUUUUGAUGCUUUCAUGCUACCUAGCAUAGGUGUCCUUUGUAAUUCCUCUUAUGUGACGUGAAUGUUCAGAUCCAUUAGAUUCAAAAUAAUAGUUUACUAUUGACGUGGAAACAAUAAUAAUUCAAGCAAACUAGCAAAGUAAUCAUGAACUUUCAAAAUAACAAGGCCAAAAGAAAGUUAUCCCUACAAAAGCAUAUAGUCUGGCUAUGCUCUAUCAUCAUUGCACAACGAAUUUAAAUCAUGCACAACCCCGGUAUUGUCCAAGUAAUUGUUUCACACCUUUACUUUCUCAAACAUUUUCAACUCUCAUGCAAUACAUGAGCGUGAGCCAUGGUUAUAGCACUAUAGAUGGUGUAGAAUGUGGUGGAGGUUGCAAGACAAAAAAGGAGAAGAUAGUCACAUUAACUAGGCAUAUCAAUGAGCUGUGGAGAUGCUCAUCAAUAGAUAUCAUGUGAAUGAGUAGGGAUUGCCAUGCAAAUGAUGCACUAGAGCUACAAGUAUGUGAAAGCUCUUACACAAAACUAGUGGGUGUGCAUCCAACUUGCUUGCUCACGAAGACCUAAGGCAAUUUUGAGGAAGCCUAUCAUUGGAAUAUACAAGCCAAGUUAUAUAAUGAAAAUUUCCCACUAUCUAUAUGGUGGUGAAAAAACGAGAGACUCUCAAUCAUGAAGAUCAUGGUGCUUAAUAUGCACAAGUGUGGAAAAAGUGGUAGCAUUGUCCCUUCUCUCUUUUUCUCUCAUAUUUUAUUUUAUUUUGGUGGGCUCUUUGGCCUCUUUUUUUAUGGGCUUCUUUGGCCUCUUUUAUUUACUCACAUGGGACAAUGCUCCAAUAAUGAUGAUCAUCACACUUUCAACUAAAAACUUAGAGCAACUAUGACUCUAUAUGGAAUGCCUUCGGUAGUGUGCCGUGGCAAUGAUCUAGCAUGGCAUAGACAUCAAUGGAAACAUCAUGCUAGCUAUCUUACGAUCGUGCAAAGGCAAUGUAGACGUGGUGGCACAUGUCAUGGUGGUAGUUGCAUGGCAAUAUAUCUAGGAAUGACUUUGAAAAAGCCAUAGUAGGUAGGUAUGGUGGCUGUUUUGAGGGAGGCUAAUGGUGGGUUUUGUGCACCGGUGAAAGUUGCACGGCACUAAGAAGAUAGUGAUGGUGGAAGGUGAAAGUGAAUCUAAACCAUGGACUCAACAUUAGUCAUGAAGAACUCAUAUACUUGUUGCAAAAGUUUUAUUAGUAAUCGAAACAGAACAUUCAACGCAUACUCCUAGGGGAAGGGUUGGUAGGUAUAAACCAUUGCGCGAUCCCGACCGCCACGCAAAGGAUGACAAUCAAUAUACUAAUCAUGCUCAGAUUUCAUCACAUAGCGGUUCACCAUACGUGCAUGCUACAGGAAUCACUAACUUCAACACAAGUAUUUCUAGAUCCACAACACCUUACUAGCAUGACUUCAAUAUUACCAUAACCACAACUCAAAACUAAUUGAGAUGAAUCAAACUUCUCUAACUAUUCAAUGCACAUGAAGGUGGAAGUUUUGUAUCCCUUUGGAUAACUACCCCUUUUGAGACUACUUUCAAAGCAUAGAUCAACUACCAAGCCAUGCACCGUUGUGCUCUAAAAGAUAUAAGUGAAGCACAUAGAGCAAAAGUAUCUAGCUCAAAAGAUAUAAGUGAAGCACAUGUGAGCUAAAUUGUCUACCAAAAGAUAUAAGUGAAGCAUGACAAAAUCACGGUGUGUGCAUGUCUCUAUCUCUAGGUGUGCCGCAAGGAUGAUUGUGACACAACAAAAAUAAAACACUCCUACGAUACAAGACGCUCCAAGCAAAAACACAUAACAUGUGGUGAAUAAAAAUAUAGCCCCAAGUAACGUUACCGAUGGAUUGAAGACGAGAGAGGGGAUGCCUUCCCGGGGCAUCCCCAAGCUUAGGCUUUUACGCCAUUCUUGAAUCUCUUGGGGUGCCUUGGGCAUCCCCAAGCUUGAGCUCUUGCCACUCUUUAUCUUUUUGUCCAUAAGAACUUCACCCAAAACUUGAAAACUUCACAACACGAAACUUAAACAGAAACUCGUGAUAACAUUAGUAAAAGAAAGCAAACCACCACUUCCUUAGGUACUGUAGCAAACUUAAAUUCUACUUUUGCUGAUGUUGGGUUACUGUACUUUGAAUCUUCCAUGGCUAAUAUCCCCCGAUACUAUCCAUAGUUUCAUCAAAAUAAGCAACCAACACAACAAAAACAGAAUCUGUUAACAGCAGACCAGUUUGUAGCAAUCUGUAUGUUUCGUAUACCUGUGUUACUUCAUAAAUUCUGAAAAAUUAUGAAACUCUGAAGAAUUUGUGUGUCAAUCAGUAGCAAAAAGAAUCAACUCAAAAUCUCUUACAGAAUAAAAAUUAAAUUCUUUUCGUGAGCAGAAAGUUUCUGUCUUUUCCAGCAUGACCAAACGAUCAUCCUCAAAACUAAUCAUAACGGUUUUGCUUGGCACAAACGAAAAAAGAAACACAAAAAACACAAUCAUAACAGAAUUAUUAAAGUGUGGAAAACACAAAACAGAAAGAAAAAGGAUAAAUUUGUUGGGUUGCCUCCCAACAAGCGCUUUUGUUUAACACCCUUAGCUAGGCGAAAAUGAUGGAAUCACGUAUAGUCAUCUUUCGUACUCAAACCAUAGGUAGCCCUCAUCAUAGAUUCAUAAGGCAAUCUUAUUUUAUUUCUAGGAAAGUGCUCCAUGCCCUUCUUUAAAGGAAACUGAAAUCUAAUAUUCCCUUCCUUCAUGUCGAUGAUAGCACCAAUAGUCCGUAGGAAAGGUCUACCAAGAAUAAUGGGACAUGAAGGAUUGCAAUCUAUGUCAAGUACAAUGAAAUCCACGGGUACAUAGUUUGCAACAAUAAGAACAUCAUCGAUCCUCCCCAUGGGCUUCUUGACAGUAGAAUCCGCAAGAUGCAAAUUAAGAGAACACUCUUCAAUCUCAUGAAAACCAAGAAUACCACAUAAAGACUUUGGAAUCGCGGAAACACUAGCACCCAAAUCACACAAAGCAUUGCACUCAUAGUUUUUUAUCUUCAUUUUGAUAGUAGGUUCCCACUCAUCAUGAAGUUUUCUAGGUAUAGAGACUUCUAGUCUGAGCUUAUCUUCAAGAGAUUUCAUCAUAGCAUCUGCGAUAUGCGCGGUAAAGGCUUUGCUUUGGCUAUAAGCAUGUGGAGAGUUUACAAUGUAUUGCAUCAAAGAAAUGCAUUCAAACAAGGAACAAUUAUCAUAAUUGAAUUCCUUGAAAUCCAAAGUGGGAGUUUCGUUACUACCCAAAAUUUUGACUUCUUCUACUCCACUCUCCACACCUUUAUCAUCAAGAUAGGUGGACUCCGAAUCAUCGAGGCGCUUUUCAACCAAAGUGGAUUCAUAUCCAGCCCCUCCAUAAGUAGGUUUGACAGCGAAAACAAAGAUUCAAGAGGAGACACACCAAGCACUUUAAGAUCUUCGUGAUUUGUAUCACUAGAACGCACCCUUUUAAACCAUUCAUGUCUAGCGCGAAUUUGGGCGGUUCUUUCUUUGCUCUCAUUCAUGGAGAUACGCAUAGCUUUCAAAGUUUCAUCCAAGUUGAUCUUGGGAGGAGCGCAUCUAACUUUCAAAGCAUAAAUAUCACAAGACAUCCUAUCAACGCUCUUAGUAAAAUCGUCUAUUUUGAGUAGUUUUUCCUCUAUGGACGCAUAGAAAAUAUUUUGAGAGUGGAUGAACUCUUUGAUAUUACUCUCUAGAUCAGAGGGUAAUUUGUUGUGAUUUCCAUAUGUGUUGCCGUAGGAAUUGCCAUAAUUGUUAGAGGAGUUACUAGGAAAAGGCCUAGGAACAUAGUUUCCUCUGAAAGUAUUGUUGUUGCCAAAAUUGUUCCUACCAACAAAAUUCACGUCCAAACUAGCGUUGCUACUCUUAAUCAAAGAAGAUAGUGGCAUGUCAUUAGGAUCUAUGGUAGCGUUUCUACUAGCAACCAAAUUCAUCAACUCGUCCAUCUUAGCACUAAGCGAGUUAAUCUCUUCUAUAGCGUGCACCUUUUUGCUAGCAGGCGACCUUUCAGUGUGCCACUCAGAGUAGUUGGUCAUGAUAUUGUCUAGGAGUUUUGUGGCGUCUCCUAACGUGAUUUCCAUGAACGUUCCACCUGAGGCGGACUCCAAGAUAUUGCGAGAAGCGAAAUUCAAGCCAGCGUAAAAGAUUUGUAUAAUCAUCCACAAACUCAAGCCAUGAGCAGGACAAAUUCUAAUCAUAAGCUUCAUCCUCUCCCAAGAUUGUGCAACAUGUUCAUGAUCAAGUUGCUUGAAAUUCAUGAUAUCGUUACGUAAGGAGAUGAUCUUAGCCGGCGGAAAAUACUUGGAUAUGUAAGCAUCUUUGCACCUAUCCCAAGAAUCGAUACUAUUUUUAGGCAAACAAGAAAACCAAGUUCUUGCGCGAUCUCGCAACGAGAAAGGAAAAAGUUUUAACUUAAUCACGUCAUUAUCCACAUCUCUUUUCUUUUGCAUAUCGCAAAGCUCAAUGAAGGUAUUGAGAUGGGAUGCGACAUCUUCACUAGGAAGGCCAGAGAAUUGCUCUUUCAUAACAAGAUUCAGCAAAGCUACGUUGAUUUCAUACGAUUCCGCACUAGUGGCGGGAGCAAUCGGAGUACUAAUAAAAUCAUUAUUAUUAGUGCUCGAGAAGUCGCAAAGUUUGGUGUUUUCAGACAUGAUGUAUUCAACAAACAAACAAGCACACAAGCAAGCAAGAAACCGACAAAGGAAAACGGCAAGGGCAAAAGAAAACGGCGAAGGAGAAAGGCAAAUGAAAACGGAAAAUGUGAAGUGGGGGAGAGGAAAACGAGAGGCAACUGGCAACAAAAGUAAAUGCAAGAGAAGAGUUUGUGAGACCUACUUGGAUAGAUCUUGAUUUGUCCUCCCCGGCAACGGCGCCAGAAAUGCUUCUGAUGUCCGUUAUGCUACUGCACAAAAGACCUUCCAGUGGCGCCAGAAAUGGGCACGUUGACGACACCAGGAAUCCUUCUGCGUUGGUGUUCCCUCAAAGCGGAUAGGAUGAUGUAGCACAGCGGAGGUAAGUAUUUCCCUCAGUUUGAGAACCAAGGUAUCAAUCCGGCGGAGGAGUAUCUCAAGAUCCUGCAGGAACACAAAAGCUUGCACCCAACACUAUGAAGGGGUUGUCAAUCCCAUAUAGAUUGUUUGCCAAGUGAGAACUGAAAGCAACAAAGUAACAAAGCAAAGUAAAAGCAGAGUUGUAAACGAUGGAUGUGAAUAGACCCGGGGGCUGUAGUGUUCACUAGUGGCUUCUCUCAUGAAAGCAAGUAGACGAUGGGUGAACAAAUUACUGUCGAGCAAUUUAUAGAACUGUGCAGAGCCGUGACGAUAUCUAUGCAAUGAUUAUUUCUAUAGGCAUCACGUCUGAAACAAGUAGACCGAUACUUUCUGCAUCUACUACUAUUACUCCACACGUCGGCCGCUAUCCAGCAUGCAUCUAGUGUAUUAAGUCCAUAAGAACAGAGUAACGCCUUAAGAACGAUGACAUGAUGUAGAGNNNNNNNNNNNNNNNNNNNNNNNNNNNNNNNNNNNNNNNNNNNNNNNNNNNNNNNNNNNNNNNNNNNNNNNNNNNNNNNNNNNNNNNNNNNNNNNNNNNNNNNNNNNNNNNNNNNNNNNNNNNNNNNNNNNNNNNNNNNNNNNNNNNNNNNNNNNNNNNNNNNNNNNNNNNNNNNNNNNNNNNNNNNNNNNNNNNNNNNNNNNNNNNNNNNNNNNNNNNNNNNNNNNNNNNNNNNNNNNNNNNNNNNNNNNNNNNNNNNNNNNNNNNNNNNNNNNNNNNNNNNNNNNNNNNNNNNNNNNNNNNNNNNNNNNNNNNNNNNNNNNNNNNNNNNNNNNNNNNNNNNNCUUGCUGCCCCUACUGUCACUAGGAAAGGUCACCACAUGGCAGAACCCAAAACCAAGCACUUCUCCCAUUGCAAGAAUCAUAGAUCUAGUUGGCCAAACAAAACCCAAGACUAGGAGAGACUUACAAGGAUAUCAAAUCAUGCAUAUAAGAAAUCAACAAAGACUCAAAUAUAUACCAUAGAUAAUCUGAUCACAAGUCCACAAUUCAUCGGAUCUCGACAACACACACCGCCAAAGAAGAUUACAUCAGAUAGAUCUCCAUGAAGAUCAUGCAGAACUUUGUAUUGAAGAUCCAAGAGAGAGAAGAAGCCAUCUAGCUACUAACUACGGACCCGUAGGUCUGAAGUGAACUACUCACGAGUCAUUGGAAGGGCGAUGAUGAUGAUGAAGAAGCCUUCCAACUCCAAAGUCCCCUCCGGCAGGGCACCGGGAACGGUGUCCAGAUGAUCUCGCGGAAACGGAAGCUUGCGGCGGCGGAAAAGUAUUUUUGAGGCUCCCUUGAUUUUUUACGGAAUAUUUGGGAAUUUAUAGGGCAAAGACCUAGGUCAGGGGGCGGCCAGGGAGGCCACAAGCCUGCCCACCGCCGCCUCCCCCUGGUGGCGGAGUGGGGGAUUGUGGGCUCCCUGGAGCCCACCAGGCUUGGCCCAAAAGCCGCUUGGACUUCUUCCGUUUGGGAAAAAAUCAUUUCAGGGUUUUUCUUCCGUUUGGACUCCGUUCCAAAAUCAGAUCUCAAAAGAGUCAAAAACACGGAAAAAAUAGAAACUGGCACUUGGCACUGAAUUAUUAAGUUAGUCCCAAAAAGAUAUAAAAAGGUACAUAAAACAUACAAAGAAGGCAAGAAAACAGCGUGAAAUCAUCAAAAAUUAUAGAUACGUUUGAGACGUAUCAAUCAGCAAGAAUGGUGGGCAGGCAAAGAAGUAACAUUUUAUGCAGAGCUAAUUGAUCUGCAAACUCAUUCCAGAGUUGGUUAUGUGCCAUCAAAGAUGGCUGCACAGCUCGAAGAUGAUGAGUGGGUUUCAUAAAGAAUAUGUUGGCAUUGUUGACUGAACCAACUGUAGUAGCUAAAGAUACAGGGAUUGAUGCAGAUGGAGAGGAGGGAACCCAUGGUGCUAGGAAGUUUGUUGUUGACUGGAAUGUAGUAGAGUUGAAUGAAAAAACAGAUUUGGUCAUUACACCAAUAUCUGACAUUGAUAUGGCCGAAAUGUUUGGCAUUCAAGUUUAUGACAAAGAUAAGGAGAAGGAUGACAGUUCUUUGCCUGCUGAUGGUAACACCGGCCCUAGAAAUGCAAAUGAGGAUGAAGAAGAGCUGAUUAGAAAGGCUGCAGAUGAUGUGGAUUAUACAGAUGAUAAUGAGCUGGUUUGUUUGUAUGACAAAGAGAACCCAGUUAUUGAGGUGGGAAAGUUGUUGCCAAGCAUGGUUGAGUUUAGGAUGUCUUUCACGACCUUUGCAGUGAAAAAAGAGUUUGAUGCCAAGACUAUGUGGACUGAUCGAAAGAAAUUUUAUGCUCGAUGCAAAGGUUAUGAUGGUGGUGGCAAUGCUUGCAAAUGGUACAUAUCUGCCACACUACAACCUGAUGGAAGUACAGUAAGGGUAAAUCAAAUACCACACCAGCAUACAUCUAUGACUACUUCACAGAGAGUUUCAAAGAUGACAUCACAACUUUGGAUUCCAGAGAAGAUUACUCCUAUUUUAGCCAAGACUCCAAACACUACUGCAAAGAGGCUUAAAGUUGACUUGGAGAAGCUGUACCCCAUCCGACUGCAAUAUACCACAGUGUGGAAAGCAAAACAAAGGGCCAUGAAAUCAUUGUAUGGUGACUGGGCAAAUACAUUUAGGAUGUUGUAUAGUUUUAAAGCAGAGGUGGAGAAGAGGUCACCUGGAAGUGUGGUGGAGAUAGAUACACAGGUAAUAGAGGAUGGCAAGGUUUUUUUCAGCAAGUUUUUUAUGUGUUUGAAGCCGUAGAUGGAUUCAAAGCAGGUUGUCGUCCAUAUUUGAGCAUAGACUCAUCUUUUUUUACUGGAAAGUGGAAUGGUUAGUUGGCUGCAUGCAAUGCUCUAGAUGGACACAACUGGAUGUUCCCAGUUGCAAUAGGAAUGUUUCAAUCAGAGACAGAGGCAUCAUGGAUAUGGUUCAUGAUGCAACUGGAAAGAUGCAUAGGGCCAGUUUUUUCCUUUGGCAAUCCACACAGAUGCAUGUAAAGGGUUGGAAAAUGCAGUAAAAAAAGUUUUCCCCCAUGUUGAGCAGAGGGAGUGCUUUGGACAUAUGUGGAUGAAUCUGGUAAAAAAAUUCAGAGGAGAUGAAUUUGGGCGCAUGUGGCCAGCAGCAAGAUCGUACACCAGACAAACACAUUCCUAUCACCUUGGUAAGAUAUUGACAUCAUGUAGUGAUAAUGAAUUUGCUUCAUGGUUGAACAACCACCAUUCUCUGUUGUGGUACAUAUCAGGUUUUAAUACUGUCAUAAAAUGUGAUCAUAUCAAUAACAACUUGGCAUAAAGUUUUAACAACAAAGAGAAGGAUUUGAAAGACUUGCCUAUGCAUGACAUGGUGGACCAAAUAAGGAUCAUGAUCAUGCGUUUGUGGGAGUUGAGAGGAAAAAUUGCUAAUAUUUUGGAAGGGGACAAGCUUCCAGCAGUGGUACAACAGGUGGUCAACAGGAGUAGAAAUAUUUCACAUCUAUCUGUUGAGAAAUCUUCCUUGUGGGGGUGCUGAAGUUAGAGAUACAAAGAGUGGCAAGAGGCAUGUGGUAAAUACUGAGUUGCAUGAGUGCACUUGCCAAGAGUGGCAACACACUGGAAAACCAUGUGAGCAUGCAAUAAUUUUUUUGGCAUCUAAACCCAGGUUAAAUAUGCACCCAUAUUUGCAUGAGUAUUAUUCAGUAGAAAAAUUCAAAGCUGCAUAUGCAAGUCCAAUUCCUGCACUGACCGACCAAUCUCAGUGACCUGAGGUGGAAAUAGAAUUUACCUUGUGUCCCCCUGUUACUAGAAGAAAGGCUGGGAGGCCAAAACAGAGCUGAUUCAAAGCUUGGUUUGAGAAAGGUGGUUGUAGUAGGAAGGGGAAAGAGGAAAAUUAAAAGAAUGAAAAGCCCAAAAGGGCUCAAAAAUGUAACAAAAAUAGGUGCAAGUUGUGUGAGGUACUUGGGCACAGAAUUGGUUCAUCCAAAUGCAUCUACACUCAGAGGACAAAGUAUGUUUAUGUUACUGUUUUUGCAAGUUUUUGAUUUUGCUACUUGUUCUAGUAUCUAACCAAGUGAAAUGCUUUAUUUUUUUAGGAGGAAGCAUGCAGAAAAAGCCCCACCUCUUGUUGUUGAACAAUGUUGGCCAAUGAAAAAAGCAAGACUCAAUGGUUUUAGAAGGAAGAGAACUAAGCAGAUAAUGUUUGGUGACAAAGAUAUGGAGCAAACUGAUACUGUUAUUGCUGAACAUGAGCUAAUUGUUUCUGUUACUACUCAAUCUGUUUUGCAUGCACUAGGGCAAUCUGAAACUGUUACUGUUGAACAUGAGCUAACUAUUUCUGUUACUACUGAAUCUGUUUUGCAUGCACUAGGGCAAUAUGAAACUGUUGCAGAUGAAGCAAUUAUUGAGCUGCCAUGCGGUUCUACGUUAACAGUUGUGUUGCCAUGUUUGGAGGUUGUGCUUCCAUGUGUUGAGUUGCAAACUGAAGAAGUUGAACAAUGUGUUCCAUCUACUCAAUCUGCAGAAGUGCAAACUGAAGAAGUGGGACAUGGUCAGGUGCAAAAGUUGAGGCGGCCUAGUGGAGUUGUUGGCAAGAAUACCAAGAGCAUCAGCAUCAACAAACUGUGCGCCGUGGAACCAAACAUUGGAAAAAGGAGAAGAAAUCGAGUGGUAGAAAGAAGCAAAAGAAAUAGAGUCGAAAUCAUUCAAAUGUGAUGUGAUUUGAUGUGCAACUUAAGUUUGGUGUCAUUUGAUGUGAAAACUUAUGUUCUUUGAUGUAAAACUUAUGUGCUAUGAUGUUGAUUUGACUUGAAAAUAAAAUUCAAAUUUGAACCGACAUUCAUAUUUGAACCUUUCUCCAAUAUUUUUGGAGUUCAUUUGUUUGUUCUGUGAUGUUGCACUGUUUUUUAUACUACUAUACACUUUAGUUCAUAAAUCCAACCCUUUUUGCGAAGUCCAACUCAUAGUCACUAAAAAUGUUGUCCAAACAAGCUCCAAAGUAAGGGAAAACGACCCCAUUUCUAAGCAAGUUUUUUUCAACCUUCUCAAAAUCACCCAAAAAGAUAUUCUUAGCUUAUAUUAUACCUAUAUAGGAUCAAUGCGAAGUAUCACCUUUUUUUGAAUAAUUAUUCAUAUUAUUAAUUUAUUUUUGAAAAAACACCCUUUAAUACAAAGUCAACAACAAAACAAGUUUAAAAAUUGAAAAUGCUAAAAUAACUUCGGAUCCUGCUUAGUCACUCCAAAAUAAAGCUAAGGUGAGGUUUUAUGAUUUUUUGAAUUUUCAAAACCUGAAACCCUCUUCUCACUCUUUUGAACUCUAUGCAACCUUAGUCGAGAUAGUCCAAUUUGUGAAGGUUUUUUCAUGCAAAGAUCAUUACAUCAAGUUUAUCAUUUUAUAUCAUAACUAUGUUACAUAACAAGACUAUAUGCGCUGGUUUUUCAUUUUUUAGAUUUUGUUUGAAUUAGUUACACACAUUUGAAUGUUCCGUCAAACCUUUCAAAACACCGUUGACUGCCUCCAAAACCCAUCUAACCCUAACGCCUUCUCAAAAUCACCCAAAAAGAUUUUUUAGCUUAUAUUAUACCUACAUAGGAUCAAUACGAAGUAUCACCUUUUUUUGAAUAAGUAUUCAUAUUAUUAAUUUAUUUUUGAAAAACACCCUUUAAUACAAAGUCACCAACAAAAACUUUAGAUCCUGCUUAGUCACUCCAAAAUGAAGCUAAGGUGAGGUUUUCUGAUCUUUUGAAUUUUCAAAACCUGAAACCCUCUUCUCACUCUUUUGAACUCUAUGCAACCUCAGUCGAGAUAGUCCAAUUUGUGAAGGUUUUUUCAUGCAAAGAUCAUUAAAUCAAGUUUAUCAUUUUAUAUCAUAACUAUGUAACAUAACAAAACUAUAUGCGCUGGUUUUUCAUUUUUUUAAGAUUUUUUUGAAUUAGUUUCACACAUUUGAAUGUUCGGUCAAACCUUUCAAAACCCUGUUGACUGCCUCCAAAACCCAUCUAACCCUAACGCCAAACGUCCACCGUCGAUCUAACCCUAACGCCAAACCGUGGCCGUCGGAUAGGCCUUCUAGAAGGAAUUCGUGGGUGUGGGGGAGCAUCUCAGUGACCGGGGGCCGAGCGGAUAACGUUGAGCGGGGGAGCAUCUCAGUGACUGUUGGGCUGAGCGGAUCAGGACCGGCAGAGCCUGGCGUGCGUGCGCACAGCCACGUCGCAGCGAGAUGGGCCACCAUGCAUGCCAUGCAACGAGGUCGCAGCCUAGCUAUUCUGCCAAGUGAACACAGCCUAGCCGCCAUGCAUGCAGCGACACAUUAAAACAGCGGCAGGGACGUAGCGUACGUCACAUCUAAGCUAUUUUUAAUAAUUUCAUGUAUGAACCUUAGACAUGGGACGGACGCGUCGGUGGUGCGGCUCCAUUUUCAGUGACAAAGUUUCUCACGUCGAUUAAAAACGAAGCAUCUUGCCUAUGCCGCCCGUGCCUCUUUGGAUGCUGUGCCCUUUUUUUGCACACCCAUUAAUUAUGCCACCAUGCGGAGGAGAGAAAACGACCGAUCGUGUACAUUGACUACGGCUGCAACGCGGCUAUAAAAGGGCACCAUUUCCUCAUCCCUCUCACACUCAUCUCUCAAGCCUCCUCCUCUUCUUCUUUCCGAGCGAAAUCCAGCACUCGAGCCACCAUGAAGUUCAACGGCCCUACCUACCGUCGCCCUCGCACCGUGCCGGAUAUGGAGUUCCCGCCCGGAGUCGUCGUCGAGAAUAGCCUGAGGGUGUGGGCCAUCUCAAGGUGGAGGGCCCCUAGAGAUUUGGCUCGCUUCUUCCUCCAAGCCGUCUACCGCCACCUCCCUCCGGGCACUCCGCCCAUGUUCCACCUCCACGAGCAGGUCGAUGGCGGCCACAACCGCUUCGUCAUCGGCCUCUACGUCACCUUGACCAACCACUACGACGCUUACCACCUCCUCGGCCUGGUGUUUUGGUGUUGGUGCGAGUUCAACACGUUCACCACCUACAACAUUUUCACCAACUUCCACCACAUCUUCCCCAAGCCCAACGGCAUGCACACCCUCCCCUACCAGAUGCCGCCCCCGGAGAACGGAGAGUGAGGGGUGCCGGCGAAGGAGGGGCCAAGGAGUCUGCUGGCCGAGGAGUCUUUUUAUAUUUUUAUCUAGUAGUUGGGGCGUGUGUGCCUGUGUCUUUAUAUCUAGUAUUUCUAUAUGUUGUAUGCUACUAGGGUACCCGAUGCCCCUUUAUCGUACUAUUUCUAUCUAGUUUUAUGCAUUAUAUGUUUUAUGUUUUAUGCAUUAUGCACUAUAUUAAUGUUUCAAUUUUUUUUAUGCAACGUAAUAUCCACUGGCGGAGGCAGCAAUGUGGCAAGCUUUGGCCUCCACCACACCUAAAUUUGUUGCUUCCCUAUAUAUGUACGUUGGCCAUUAGGAAAGAUUCACCCUAGGUAUUGUUGUAAGCCUUGCUGCGUACGUCUGCCAUACCUUGAAACAAUCUCUGUCUUCGCCACUGGUAAUAUCUAAAAAGUUCGUGUAGGUGGAAGAACAUUUUUCCCGAUAUAAAUGAUACAGAACUGCUCGGAACAAGAUACCAUAGCACAAACUUUGAAAACACCAUAUCGCAAACACCAUAGCACAAACUUUGAAAACACCAUAACAACCUACUCCCCAAAUGCGUUUUUCGAGGCUAACUUUGACCACAUGUUAUAGAGAAAAUAAGGGCUUUGCUACACGUACGUACAUGACCUACGUAAACCUACAUGAAGGCUGAGUUUGACGAAAUAUAUAUCAAAUGAUACCAACAUCUAUAAUACUAAACCUAUAUGCUAUCAAAAUUAAUAUCAUUAUGCAUCUACUAAUAUUGUUUUCAUAUUAUAAAUGUUUAUAUUUUGUUCUAUAAAUUUAGUAAAAAUUUAUGAAGUUUGACUUUGACCAAAUCUUAUAUGCAGACUAAAAAGAAACGGAGGGAGUAUAUGACAUGCAAGUUACACCGUCAAAUUCAUACGUGAAAGGAGCUUCCAAUGAUACAACUUUUAUAUUAUACAUCUCAUAUAAUAUUAAUCUUAUCAAUAGUCAAACACAGCCUCAGAAAAUGAAUUAGGCCCUAUAUAUAUAUGGAUGGAGGGAGUAAUCAGCGCUGGUUUCCUAUGCAUGCAUUCGAUAAUUCCACAAUUAAUCACCGGAUGGAACAAGUGGCAGUAUAUGGGCCUGGAUAUGUUCUAUUCGGCCCUGUGCACUUUUUUUUGCACUAGCUACACCUUUUUUUAUCAAUGGGCCUGUAUAUAUCAAUGUCAAUGACCGUGUGCACUUUUGUUUUGCACUAGCUACACUUUUUUUAUCAAUGGGCCUGAAUAUGUUCUAUUCGGCCCUGCCUACCUUCUAUAUGGGCCUGACCUUUUCGCGAAACUGUCGACGAACCCUUUUUUUUUCCUUUUCUCCCUCUACCACUGAUCUUUUUACCAAAUUUCUCAUCUAGCCACCGAAACUGAAACUGAUGACGAACUGCAGAACUGAGAAAACGGGGCCGAAACAGAGUGGAGAAGACGAGAAGACAUGCCGAAUUCGUACAUCGCAACAGUUUUAUUCAAACAUCCAUAUCAUUACGAUUACAGAUGAUGCCCAAUCUAUUCACUAACGACUAAUUAUCAGCAAAUAAACAAAUGCGAGAGCAAUUACACAAACAUAAAAAAUUCUGGCCAUCAAAUUGCCCCGCUUCUUCAAUUCGAUUAGUUUCUUCAUCUUCUUGUUGAGCUUCUUCAGCUCUGCCGUCCUUGCUGCAUCCCCCACAGUAGCACCAAUGGAAUUGCUAGAUCCAGACGGGCCCGAUCCAAACUUGUACGCCUCCAACGGUAAAUCGAGCUCCUGUGAUGCACCCUCCAGUUGAAUCCACUCUAUGUACUCAUCUAGCCACUCAAAAUGGGCGCAUUGCUUCAAUUUCUGAAAUAGGAAAGAUGAACCCUAAAUCCCAAAUCCGAUGAAAAAUAUGAAAUUGGGGGACAAAAAUCAAAAUUGGCAUAUUCAGAAGUAAAAUCUCACCUUUCCCUGCUCUUGUUUGCUCUCGCAUUUCACGAAUUCCCGCCCAAGGUUGCCAUUCUUGUCGGUCAUUGUGACUAGCCGCUUCAGGGGUGCGGUACGUGGGCAUGCAGGGCACCUUGUCAUGGGCACUGCACCAUAGUGCGACCAUGAGAGGCGGGAGGCUGAAGCGGAGCUCGACAUUGCUAGGUCGUGGCCCGAAACGGCGUUGCUGCGCGUCGUCGCCGGAGAAGAAGAACAACAACGGUCAGGGAGCAGGGCGAGGAUGGGAAGGUCGCGGUAGGGCUCGGGUGCUGCACAGCUCGGUGUCCUCUCUUGUACCAAUGCUGAGCUGGAUAAGUUAGUGGGUCCCAUGCCGUGGGUCCCGCUUUGUUACGUAGGGGCUCACCUGAUUUGAGUUUUCAACAUUUGUCUUUGGAUUUGGCAGCAGUGUCGCACGCCAACUAUUUAUGCACUGGGAGAUGUCGCAUGAGAGCGUUACAACCAACGACCUCGCAUGAGAGAUAAUUCAACUCAACGACGUCGCAUGGGAGCUAUUCGCCCAAACCCGUGCCAGGCCCCGAACUCCUCGAAGGGCGCCGACGGCGUCGUAUGCGGUUGCGGGCGAAGGUGAGGUCGCCCUUGACCUGAAACUCACGGCGCUCCUCCUCCUUGAUGAGUAGAUCGGCGGGUGGCGUAGGCAGAACCGAGCGCGCGGGGGCGGCGGCGGAACCGAGCGGCGCGGCAGCGGUGGCGGAACCGAGCAGCGCAGCGGCGAGCGUGCGGGGGCGGCGGCGGAACCGAACGCGCGGUGGCGGCGGCGGCGGAACCGAGUGAUGCGGGCGCGCAUAUGUGGGAGCGGUUCCAGCGUAACGGUGGAAGUUCUUUUUUAGAAACGGGGGAGGUUUUUUAUUAUUAUUGUUGAAUCAGAGAGUAUCGUUAAUACUCCCUCCGUUUCUAAAUAUAAGUCUUUCUAGAGAUUUCACUAAUGGACUACAUACGAAUGUAUAUAGACAUAUUUUAGAGUCUAGAUUUUCAUUUUGCUUCGUAUGUAGACUUCUAGUGAAAUCUCUUAAUAUACUUAUAUUUAGAAACGGAGGAAGUAGGUGUUUUCGUUAGCUACGAGAAGUUUUGUUAACAACAUAAUCAGUCUGUUGAUUAAGGGAUGGGAGGGUUUAGAUUUCUAGUUCUUUUCCUUCUUUUCCUUUUUGAUGAUAGUAGAUAGAUAGCGAUGAUUACAUGACCGUAAGAAAUUUGGUAGUUGGAUAUGCCUUGCCUCUUCGUUCUUCGUUAGCGAUGAUUACAAAGCAUGGCAAGCCAGAAAUUUGGUAGUUGGAUCAGCCUUGCUGCUUCCUUCUUUGUUAGCGACGUACUUCUAUCAGUUUUGUAACAAUGAAUUUAAACCGUUCAUUACAUGAUUAGACACUUUUAGAUUUUAAGUUAAAACUGCUUCUUUGUUCUUUUAUAGUAUAACCCCAUGGGACAUGUGGUUAGCAAACUCAAAACUCAUAUAGUAUAGAUGCCAAGUCUCGGGUGGACGGUCCGAUGGACGGAGGCCAAUUUCGAUCCGAGCCGGCGGAAAACAGGCUCCUGGGGAUGCGACUGGGCAGUUUAUCCCCUGCUAGCGGGAAAAAAAUGGUGGGGGUUGUUGGGGGCGCGGCUAGAGGUGCUCUAAUAUAAGAGCAUUUACAAUAUAUGGGACGGAUGGAGUAGAAGCUAUUUUUUGCAAGUCCAUGUCUGUAGCCACUGAUUACUAAUUUGUGUGUAGCAAUUGCUAAUUUUUGUGUAUCUAUUGUCACAAUAAUAUUUUACCACUAUUAUCCAUAUAUAGUCCGCUGAGCCAUUGAUGUUGACAUUUUACUGCACAUUUGUGGUCCUAUUGUAUUGAUUUGGCAGAAAAUAUAAUAAGAAUACCCAGGAGCAAAUUCCUGCACCAUUAAUCAAAACGCGUUUAAAUGUUCUCAAUCCUAAGGAGUCUCUCUCUCACACAAUAAAAUUGGAAACCUGUUUUUAUGUGUGAGGUUUUGGCAAGGCUUGCACAUAUGCUUACAUAUGGUUUCUUUCAUCUUCAACCCUGGUUUUGUAAUUUCCAAUAUAAAAUGACACGGAUAUGAACAAAAAUAGAUCAUGCACUAUUGACUAAGGCCACACAUUUAAUAACACUUUUUAAAUAUUUAACACAUAAACUUACAUCAUAUUCAGAUUCUAAACAUUUUUCUAAUGAAGUUUUAUACAUAACAUGUUAAAUUUGGAUUUCGGGUUUAAAAGAUAUAGUUAUUUCAAAAAGUUGAUAUGUACUAUAGGUUGACUCAAAUAUCAGGGAGUUUCCUGCAAAAUUGAAAAUCCGACUUAAAAUUGGCAUGUAGAUUGAUUACCAGAAACAUCAGGGGGGGGGUCAGAAAAGCAAAAUCAUAGUUAAAAUUGUUGUUGGAUCGAGAAGGGACGUCUAGAGGGGGGGGGGUGUGAAAAGACUACUUAGCAAAAUAAAAACCUAACAUUUUCCCAGUUUUAUUGGUUGGCAAGUUUUAGUAGUUAUAGCAAGUCUAGAACACCCUACACAUGCAAGUCAACCAUUAUGGCAGCGGAAAAGUAAAGACAUGCACAUGAGAGUAAGGAGUAGAGAUUGGAAGAUCAAACGCAAAGAUGGAUGCUAGAAAUCAAGAUUCAUAUGGUUGGAGUCGAAUAUCUUGAUCUCAACAUAUGUGUAGGUGGUUUUCUCUCAGAAAAUGGAUGGGGCAAGUGUUGACUUGUUUUGAGUGCUUUCUCUACAUAUGAGAGGGAGGUGGAUGGAUAUAUGUAGGCAUUUCCAAAAAUCCACCCGUUACAAGAUUAUUCCUAAACUCGGUGGAACUAAAGUAAAAACUCGGUUACACCGACUAGUGCAAAAUAUGGCAACUUUCGACGUUUCGGUGAGACCGAUAUAUAAAUCACGGUGAGUCUGAUUUUGGCUGGCCUAGGCAGUUGUACAAACUCGGUAGCUCUGAUUUGUAAAACUCGGAGAUUCCGACUUUUAGGAGAUGGAUACGAGUGAGUUAGUCACUGUUUUUCAGCGGGGCAGAAAUAGAGCUUGUUUCACCGAGAUGUUAGGGUUGGCUCUGGAUUCUGUCUAGGGUAAAACUUGGUAGGGACGAUUUUGGAAACUUGGGGGCACCGAAUUUAGGCUUUGGGGUUUGGACAUAAUAUUUUUUUGGCAGAAUUCAUGAGGGUUUUUGGUGUCUAGCUCUAAGCACUUGAGCAACCAGAUCAUCAUAGAUACACCAUCCCCUUUUAAUAGUAUUGGCUUUCCUAUGAGCUCAAAUGUGAUUUCUCGCCAAAUGAAAAGUGUAGAGUCUUGAAGCUUGGUCAAUCCUAUUCUUCUCCUUCCUUGGGAUUUCCCCUCACAUUCCUAGCCACUAUAAUCGUUUGGUCUUAAUCUGAAAUACUAGGUAAACCAUUAGUCCGAGAGAUAAUGUAUGUUGUCAUGAAUUAUCGAAACCACCAAGGGAGCAUAUGUGAUUUCAAUCUACCCCUUUUUGGUAGUUGAUGACAACAUACAGUCAAAGCUUCAAAAUAAGAUGGUGAAAUCACAUAUGCUCCCUUGGUGGUUUUGAUAAUUCAUGACAACAUACAUUGUCUCUAGGACUAAUACUUUUACCUAGUAUAUUUUAGAUAUAUCCCACAAAGAGAAUUGGCAAAGAAUUAUGAGGAGAAUUUCAAAGAAGUAGAAGAAGAAAAGGAAGGAAUAGGACUGGCAAGCUUUAAGCUUCAAGUUUCAAGACUCUACAUUUUAUAUUUGUCAGAAAUCACAUUUAACUACAUAGGAAAGCUGAUGACCCACAAGUAUAGGGGAUCUAUCGUAGUCCUUUCGAUAAGUAAGAGUGUCGACCCAACGAGGAUCAGAAGGACAUGACAAGCGGCUUUCAGUAAGGUAUUCUCUACAAGCACUGAAAUUAGCGGUGACAGAUAGUUUUGUGAUAAGGUAAUUCGUAACGGGUAGCAAGUAAUAAAUAUAGCAAUGGUGCAGCAAGCUGGCCCAAUCCUUUUUGUAGCAAAGGACCAGCCUGAAAAAACUCUUAUAUAAGGAAAAGGUCUCUCGAGGACACAUGGGAAUUUGCGUCAAGCUAGUUUUCAUCAUGCUCAUAUGAUUCACGUUCGUUACUUUGAUAAUUUGGUAUGUGGGUGGACCUGUGCUUGGGUGCUGCCCUUACUUGGACAAACCUCCAACUUAUGAUUAACCUAUCUUGCAAGCAUCCGCGACUACGAAAAAACAAUUAAUAUAAAUCUAACCAUAGCAUGAAACAUAUGGAUCCAAAUCAGCCCCUUACGAAGCAACACAUAAACUAGGGUUUAAUCUUCUGUCACUCUAGCAACCCAUCAUCUACUUAUUACUUCCCAAUGCCUUCCUCUAGGCCCAAAUAAUGGUGAGGUAUCAUGUAUCACAUGACACCACUAGAGGAGAGGCAACAUACAUCUUAUCAAAAUAUCGAAAGAAUACCAAAUUCAUAUGAUUACUUAUAACAAGACCUAUCCCAUGUCCUCAGGAACAAACGUAACUACUCACAAAGCAUAUUCAUGCUCAUAAUGAGAGGAGUAUUAGUAAUCAUUAAGGAUUUGAACAUAUAAUGUUCCACCAAAUAAACCAACUAGCCUCAACUACAAGGAGUAAUCAACACUACUAGCAACCCACGGGUACCAAUCUGAGGUUUUGAGACAAAGAUCGGAUACAAGAGAUGAACUAGGGUUUGGAAAGGAGAUGGUGUUGAUGAAGAUGUUGAUGGAGAUUGACCCCUCUCGAUGAGAGGAUCAUUGGUGAUGAUGAUGGCUUCGAUUUCCCCCUCCGGGAGGGAAGUUUCCCCGGCGGAAUAGCUGUGCCGGAGCUCUAGAUUGGUUCUGUCGAAGUUCCGCCUCGAGUCGGAGGCGCCUCGUCCCGAAAGGUCUGAUAUGAUUUUUUUCCAGGUCAAAGCCCUUCAUAUAGCACAAGAUGGGCACCGGAGGCCUGCUAGGGGGCCCACAAGCCUGUAGGGCGCGGCCAGGGGGGUAGGUCGGGCCCCUUGCUUGUGACCUCCUGGUGGGUCCCCUCCAAUAUUUCUUUCACCCAUUAUUUUAUAUAUAUUCCAAAAAAAUUCUCCGUUACUUUUCAGGACUUUUGUAGCUAUGCAGAAUAGGUCUCUCAGAUUUGCUCCUUUUUCAGUCCAGAAUUCCAGCUGCCGGCAUUCUCCCUCUUCAUGUAAAUCUUGUAAAAUAAGAGAGAAAAGGCAUAAGUAUUGUACCAUAAUGUGUAUUAACAUCCCAUAAUGCAAUAAAUCUUGAUAUAAAAGGAUGAUGCAAAAUGGACGUAUCAACUCCCCCAAGCUUAGACCUCGCUUGUCCUCAAGCGAAAGCCAAGAUCAAUAAAUUGUUGGCUAACGUAGUAGUAAUUCAAAAUUUUCCUACGUCAUACCAAGAUCUAUCUAGGAUAAACCAGAAACGAGAUAGGUUGUAGAGCAUCUUCGUACCUUUGAAGAUCGCUAAGCGGAAGCGUUACUAUGAACGCGAUUGAUGGAGUCAUACUCGUACCGCUUCAGAUCACGAAAGAUUCCGAUCUAAGCGCCGAACAACGGCGCCUUCGCGUUCAACACACGUGCAGCCGGUGAAGUCUCCUUCACCUUGAUCCAACAAGGAGAGAGGAUAAGUUGAGGGAGAGCUCCGACAGCACGGCGGUGUGGUGGUGGAGCUAUGUAGUUCUCCGGCAAGGCUUCGCCGAGCACCGCAGAUGAGGAGAAGAGGGAGAGGUAGGGCUGCACCUUGGGGAUGUGUGAAAGGUGUGUGCAGGCCUCCCAAAACCCUCUCUAUAUGUAGGAGAAAGGGAGAGGGGGCCGACCACCCUAGGUUUUCCCUAGGUGGUGCGGCGGCCAGCCCUAGAGGAGGAGGGGCGGCGCCCUAGGGGGUGGCUUGCCACCCAAGGCAGCCCCCACGCCUAGGGUUUGGCCUCCCUUGCCUCCUUGUGCGCCUUGGUCCUUGGUGGGUGGCACACUAGCCCAUCUAGGGGAUGGUUCGCAUCCACUUUUGGGCCACGUGGCCCUUCGGGGCUGUUGGCCCCUCCCGGUGGUCCCGGUACAAUACCGAUGAUCCCAGAAAUAUUUCCGGCGAUCAAAUCUCCACUUCCUAUAUAUGAAUCUUUACCUCCACACCAUUCCGGAACUCCUCGUGACGUCCGGGAUCUCAUAUGAGACUCUGAACAACCUUCGGUAACCACAUAUACGAUUCCCAUAACAACUGUAGCGUCACCGAACCGUAAGUGUGUAGACCCUACGGGUUCGGGAAACAUAUAGACAUGACCGAGACAUCUCUCCGGCCAAUAACCAACAGCAGGGUCUGAAUAUCCAUGUUGGCUCCCACAUGUUCCACGAUGAUCUCAUCGAAUGAACCACGAUGUCGAGGAUUUACUCAAUCCCGUAUGCAAUUCCCUUUGUCUAUCAGUAUGACACUUGCCAGAGAUUCGAUCGUCGGUAUCCCUAUACCUUGUUCAAUCUCGUUACCAGCAAGUCUCUUUACUCAUUCCGUAACACAUCACCCCAUGGCUAACUCCUUACUCACAUUAAGCUCAUUAUGAUGAUGCAUUACCAAGUGGGCCCAGAGAUACCUCUGCUUCACACGGAGCGACAAAAUCAUAGUCUUGAUUCGUACCAACCGAACAAACACUUUCGGAGAUACCUAUAGUGCACCUUUAUAAUCACCCAGUUAUGUUGGGACAUUUGAUACACCCAAAGCACUCCUACGGUAUCCGGGAGUUGCACAAUCUCAUGGUAUAAGGAAAUGAUACUUGACAUUAUAAAAGCUUUAGCAGACGAACUACACGAUCUUGUGCUGUGCUUAGGAUUGGGUCUUGUCCAUCACAUCAUUCUCGUAAUGAUGUGAUCCCGUUAUCAAUGACAUCCAAUGUCCAUGACCAGGAAACCAUGACCAUCUAUUUAUCAACGAGCUAGUCCACUAGAGGCUUACUAGGGACAGGUUGUGGUCUAUAUAUUCACACAUGUAUUACGGUUUCUGGUUAAUACGUUUAUAGCAUGAAUAAUAGACAAUUAUCAUGAACAAAGAAAUAUAAUAAUAACCAAUUUAUUGUUGCCACUAGGGCAUAUUUCCAACAGUCUCCCACUUGCACUAGAGUCAAUAAUCUAGUUCACAUCUCUAUGUGAUUGUAAUGAAUCUAACACCCAUACAGUUCUGGGGCUUGUUCAUGUCUUGCUUGUGAGAGAGGUUUUAGUCAACGUGUCUGAAUCUUUCAGAUCCAUGUGUGCUUUACAAAUCUCUAUUUCAUCCCAUAGAUGCUGCUACCAUGAGCCAUUUGGAACUAUUCCAAAUGGUUGCUCCACUAUACGAACCCGGUUUACUACUCAGAGUCAUCUCGAUUAGUGUCAAAGCUUGCAUCGAUGUAACCCUUUACGACGAACUCUUUAAUCACCUCCAUAAUCGAGAAAAAUUCCUUAGUCCACUAGUUACUAAGGAUAACUUUGAUCGUUGUUUAGUGAUUCAAUCCUUGAUCACUCUUUGUACCCCUUGACACACUCAUGGCAAGGGACACAUCAGGUGCGGUACACAACAUAGCAUACUAUAGAGCCUACGGCUAAUGCAUAGGGGACGACUCUCGUCCUUUCUCUUUCUUCUGUCGUGGUCGGGCUUUUGAGUCUUACUCAAAAUCACACCUUACAAUAUAGUCAAGAACUCCUUCUUUAAUUGAUCCAUUUUGAACUCCUUCAAAAAAAUUGUCAAGGUAUGUAUUCAUUUGGAAGUACUAUUAAGCGUUUUGAUCUAUCUUUAUAGAUCUUGAUGCUCAAUGUUCAAGUAGCUCAAUCUAGGUUUUGCUUUGAAAAACACUUUUAAAACAACCCUAUAUGCUUUCCAGAAAUUGUACAUCAUUUCUGAUCAACUCAUGAGAAAUUUUAUAGUGCUCCCACUCACUUCUUUGGAAAUACAAGUUUCUCAUAAACUUUGUAUGAAAACCAAAGACUUUGAUCAUCACAUCAAAGCGUAUAUUCCAACUCCGAGAUGCUUGCUCCAGUCCAUAGAAGGAUCGCUGGAGCUUGCAUACUUGAUAGCAUCCUUAGGAUUGACAAAACCUUCUGGUUGUAUCACAUACAACCUUUCCUCAAGGAAACAAUAAAGGAAACAACGUUUUCACAUCCUAUCUGCAAGAUUUCAUAAAUAAUGCAGCAACUUCUAACAUAACUCCAACAAACUUUUAGCAUUUCUACGAAUGAGAAAGUCUCAUCAUAGUCAACUCUUUGAACUUGUCCGAAACAUAUUUGCGAUAAGUCGAGCUUUCUUAAUGGUGACUUUCAAGAUCAUCGUUUGUCUUCCUUUUAAAGAUCCAUUUGUACUUAAUAGUCUUACAACCAUCAAGUACUUCUUCCAAAGUCCACACUUUGUUUUUAUACAUGGAUCGCAUCUCCAUAGCUCGCAGGUUCAUUGUUGACCAGCAAUAUGACCUUGAAGAUAGGAUUACCGUAAUAUUCUGGAGCAAUACGUUUCCUUGUCGACCUACGAGGUUUGGUAGUAGCUUGAUCCGAAGCUUCAUGAUCACUAUCAUCAGCUUCCAUUUCAAUUGGUGUAGGCGCCAUAGGAACCACUUCCCGCGCCCUGCUACACACUGGUUGAAGUGACGGUUCAAUAACCUCAUCAAGUUUCCACCAUCCUCCCACCCAAUUCUUUUGAGAGAAACCUUUUCUCAAGAAAGGACCCGUUUCUAGAAACAAACACUUUGAUUCUGGAUCUGAGAUAGGAUGCUGAUGACGAGAUGAUGUAUAUACUUGUCGCCCCUCGUUGGUUACCCCAAGUGGAAGGUGAAGAUGCAAUCAGCAGCAAAUUUACCUUACACGGAGACUGUAAGGUUUAUCGAACCAGGAAGACUCCCAGGCUCAACAAGUAGGUGUCAUCCACCCUGGCGCUAGCAGAAGACGUGGACCCGCACACACAACAAAUAACUGUACUCCCAACAAGUACAUAGAGGUUGUCAAUCUCUCCGGCCUUGUAGUUUGCAAAGGAUCAAAACACAAACGGGAAGGUAAUAGUGAUUACAACGAAAAAGUAAAUGAAAGCCGUAAAUGAUGGAGGUCUAAACAAUGAUGGUGAUAUGGAACGGAUUCACAUGACAUUAACUAGUGAUGUCUGUCUCCCAAAAGACGAUAAACAACUAUGCUAGGGUAAACAAAUCAUAGUUGGGAAUUGACAGAAUUAUGAUUCCACCGCAAUGCUAAGUAUGCUCCUUGAUAGUUAGAGGUUCAAUAGUAAUGGGCAAUACGUCGAGACAAGUAGACCGUUUAUUCAUCAGCAUCUACUUACUAAUCAUCCACCUUGAGAUAUCUAUCGAGAACAUCUCUCCGGUAUUAAGUUGCGAGUCCCACCCAAAGUCUAAACUCAAAGAAACGGACAAUUGCAUUAAUGAACUAUGCGUAAGGUAAACAAUCCUUGCUACCGUGGUCGCAAGCACCGUUGUUUUCUCCCUGGUGGCAACAAGUACAUCCCCUAGUCUCAUGUUUCUGUCACUCAAGCUAGACAUCGAGGGGCCCGAACCCACAAUCAUGCAUAAUGCUCCCUCUUGGAGUUACAAUCUACUACUUGGCCAAAGCAAAGGAGAACAUGCAAGGAUCACUAAGGAACAUAAUAUAAAAGGAUAAUCAAAUAUAUAACUCGUAACAAUCUGAACAUAAUCUCAUAAUCCAUCGGAUCCCAACAAACCGAGCAGAGCAAUAGCAAGAGAAUUACAUAGAUGCCUUGAUCAUGUAGGGAAGCUCACAAGGACUAACCAUUGAAGCACAAGAUUGGAGAGAAGACAUCACAUAGCUACUGGUCAUGGACUCGUGGUCCAAGGGAAACUACUCAUGUCAUAUCCGGGAGGCAUCCAUGGUGGUGGAGAAGCUCCCGGAGAUCAAUCCUCCCUCCGGCAGGGUGCCGUGAAGAGGUCUCCUGACACUCCCGAUCUCGGAAGCGCUGCGGCAGCGGAACGAUGGAGAAAUUCAUGAUUCUAGAAAGUCUGUGACGGUUUCCUCACGGAACACUAAAUAUAGGCCAAAGGAGGGCACCGGAGGAGGUGGGCCCCACACAGGCGACCUCCUGGCGCGGCCUGGGGCCUGGCCGCGCCAACAGGCCACUUGGGAGGCCCCUCGCCCCCUCUGGCCCUCCUUCGUUGAUCUCGAAGCUUCUGUUUCACUGAUUUGUUUUAUAUAUUUUUCUUGAUUUUUUCGGGCUUCGGAAAAUUGGGUAAAAGCCCCUGCAAAAAAAGACCUCAGCAGACAGAAACUAGCACUUGGUGCACUGAGUUAGUAGGUUAGUCCAAAUAUGUGUAAAAUGAUAUAAAAGUGUAGCAAAACAUAUAACAAUGUCACCCAAAAGAUCAUGGAACAAGCAGAAAUUAUAGAUACGUUUGGGGUGUAUCAACAUCCCCAAGCUUAAUUUAUGCUUGUCCUCGAGUUGAUAAAUGAUAACACAAUAAUUUAUGUGGUGACAUGCUUAACACACAUAUAAGAACUUCAAGUAAAGCAAGUGAGAUAUGCAAUUCAAGUCAAGACAAUAACAAGCAAGAGUCUACAUCUAGUAUUGAAUUUAGCAAAGUAAGAACAUAAAGGUGCAACAGCUCUCUCUGUCCGUGACUCGAAUGUCUCCAAAUGGUGUUUGCGUGCAAGAAGUGGGAGAUGGGUUCAGAGAUAAAAUAUAUUUUUUAAUUGAGAACUCAAUCUACUAAACCUCACACUUAGUCUCCUUUGGAAUCUUAUUUUGACUCAUCCCAGACCACUUGUCAGGCACAAGUCAAAAUGAUCCUCUCCCUUUCGACUUUGAGCACUCAUGCAAUGGAUGAGCGUAAGCAAGAUAUGUUGGCACUUAGGAUGGCAAAUAGAAUAAUGAUGGGGAAGGAAGACAAAAAGGUGUGAAAGGCUCACACCAAUGAGGACAACCAUAGGCGAGAGAAAGCCAAAUGAUAGAUAUGAUGUGAGGAGUAGGGAUUGCCAUGUAACAGAUGCACAUAUGAGCCAAGGUAAGCUCUCCAAUGGAACCAGGGGGUGCAUCCAACUUGUUUUCUCAUGAAUACCUAGAGCUCAUUUGAGGAGGUUCAUUACUGGAAUAUGCAAACCAAGUUCUAUAGUGUAAGGAUCCCCACAUAGUUAUGCAUGAAUGUUGAUCUCUAGGUAGUACCAAUAUAGUAAUGGAGUACGAGUGUGGAUCUUUCAAAAGGAAUAGUAGUGUUGCCCCCUUCUCUCCUUUUAUUUCUUUCUUUUUCUCUUUUUAUUUAUUUUUUGUGGCCUCUUUCGCUCUUUCUUUUAUCUCUCAUUUGUCCUCUUUGGGAUCUUUUGUUUGUCCUCUUUGGGAUAUUUUCCUCUCUUAAGGGCAACACUCUAAUUUUACAUGAAUAGAAAGAGAAAUCAUCACACUUUAUAAGAAGUACUCAACAUAAAGACAAGUGAAAACUAUCAUGAUGUAUGCAAAUGUAUGCCUCUGCCAGUGUAGCAGGAUAUUCAAUGAUACUAGCGCGUCAUGCAACAGUAAUGAGGGCAAGGACCAACUAGCAUGCGGCUCUAUGAUCAAGCAAAAACAUGUAUGACAUGAAGAUCAAGUCAUGAGAUGAUGGAUGUUACAUGUCAAUGUAUCUCGGAAAGGCUAUGGAAAUGCCUUAAUAGGUAGGUAUGGUGGCUGUUUUGAGGCAAGAUAUAAUGAGGCUUAUGUAUGAUAGAGCGUAUCAUGUCAUGGGUUUAGAUGCACCGACGGAGUUUGCACCAACUCUCAAUGUGACAAAGAGCAAUGCACGGUACCGAAGAGGCUAGCAAAAUAUGGAUGGUGGAAGUGCCAACAAUCAAAUACUCACAUUAGUACGAAGAACUCAUACACUUAUUAUCGGUAACUCUCUAUCUAGUUAGGAAUUUCACAAAAGGCAAGUACCCCGAGGAGGAAUGUUUGGGGGUUUGGUUAUCCUUGUGCAUCCUCGACUCGUGGUAACGUGAGGGUACUCUAUAUAUUCCAACCCCUCCAGAGGUUAGCGAUCAAUUUAGUAGCUAGCGUUCUCAACUAAUUUUUAUUUUUUGAGAAACACACAGAUUUCCCAAAAUACGACACCUAUCACUAAUAGGCUCAAGAUCUUGGCACGAAUAGUCCAAAACAUUACUCAAAUUAAUACCUCACAACUAUUGCAAGUUACUACUAUACUUAAAUAUCAACCUCAAUCACCUACUUAUGCAAGACACACAACUCAGUGCAACAAGCCAACUCUCUAAACAAGAUAAGAAUGAUAACUAAAGAGAGUUCCAAAAUCAACCUAAGUAAAAUCUCUUAAAAAGAUAAGCAUGAAAACUAAGAGCUAAGCAUGACAGUAGCUACGAAAAGAUGAAGAACACACAAAAAGAAUAAGCAGGAAAACCUAUGUUGUGUUCUAGAGUGGAAUGGAGCGUGUCUCUCUCCCAAACAUGGUAAGCUAGGUUCCAACUUGUUAUGACCAGCAAACUAUACUAAAAAAACUAAAAAGCAAAUAGCGUGACGCUCCAAGCAUAGUACAUAUCAUAUGAAGUGAUAAAAUAUAGUAUGGAGAUGGACGACCUGAUGAUUGUUGAUAGAGAAGGGGAUGCACGGGGGCAUCCCCAAGAUUAGACGCUUGAGUCUCCUUUGAAUAUUUCUUGGGCUGCAUGGGGGAAUCCCCUAGCUUGAGCGUUUGACACUCCUUUAUCUUCUUUCAUCAUCUCUCCCAUCGCAAUACUUGAAAACUCCCUUCAUACAAAACUCAUCAUAAGCUGAUUAGAGUAGUUUGUUCCCUUAAUAAAAUAAUUCAGUACCUGCUGGAAAUAAAAAUUCUCAUGAAAAGAUACUGCUUCUCAUGAAUGCCAAAAGAUUUUUGCAAAUCAAAAAGCAAGCUUAGGAUUCGCAAAACAAUGAAAACACAAAACAUGGCAAAAUCUAUGAAAAACAGAACAACAGGUAGUAAAUAAUUUAUUCGGGGCACCUGUGCAACUCAAAUCAAAAAACUCAGAAUAGAUGCCGGAAAAAAUAUUAUAUAUAGCAUGUUUUUGAAAAAAAUCAGAUCAAAAAGAUGAACUCAUGAUUUUUUGCGAUUUUUUCCAUCAAGCAGAUAGAAUCUGUUUCUGGACAUGAUAUCACAGUUUUUGAUCUUUCUUGCAAUCGGAGGCUAUAACUUGGCACAAAACUUAAAAAUAAAGAUACAAUGAUGUUGCUAAAGUAGUAACACACAUAAAUACCACUAAAAUAGAAAGUAAAAACAUAUUGGGUUACGUCCCAACAAGCGCUUUCUUUUAUGCCUUUGAGCUAGGCAUAAUGCAAGAAGAUCAAGUUGUAUCAAUUGAACCAUCAUCAAGAUCAUCAAAGAGCUCUUCAAUGAUACAACUAGUCUUAAGAGGACUCUCAAAGAGAGGCUUAGUGGAAACACUUCUAGGAUCAAAAGCAAAGGUAGUAAGACCAAUUGGAAUUUCAUUGCUAAUUCUAUUUAAGAGAGGUAUCUCUUCCAAGGUCUUCACAGUUUCAACACCCUUAGCAAUAGGUAUACUUGUUUUGGGUUGAGAAACCUUGGGUAUGUUAAUGAACCUAGGUCCCUUCCAUGCGGGGGUUUCUACCUUUUUAGUCUUGAUGGAGGAUAGGGUAGUUCCUAAAGUUUCAAAAAUAUCCUCGAUCUUAUCAAUCCUAGAAGGAUCCACAUCAUGGGAUGUAAGGGUCUCCAAAAUUUUGUAAAUUUUGUUCAGGCAGCUAUCAAGUCUAUUUAAGUUCCCUUGAAUCCUACGAUCUACUUCAUUAAUUUUACUCAUGCUUGGCAUCUCUAGCUCUACUUUCUCAAGUUUACUCAUAACAUGAGAUAAAGUGAUAUCAUCCUUUAUGUGAACAAUAUGUGGGAUUCCGACAAGAUUUUCCAUAACGUUAAGAGCCUCCCCAACGGGAGCUUCCAAGAAAUUCCCUCCUAUUGCUGUGUUUAGAACAAACCUAUGCCAAGAAGUAAUACCAACAUAAAAAUUUCUAAGCAAAAUAGUGGUGGAUUGCUUCUUGGUGGCUCUAUCUUGAGAAUUUUUGAUUAUAUACCAAGCAUCUUUCAAACUUUCUCCAACCCUUUGUUUGAAGGUGAGAAUCUCUCCUUCGGGUGCAAUACUAGAGGCAAAGGAUUUUGGCUUACCGACAAGGCAAAGUAACUAUUUUUUUUGUGAUUUUUGGGUAUAAGACUCUAAAGCAAAAACUAGAACGCAAACUAACAAGACUAAAAAGCAAAGGUAAAAGAUAGUGUGCAACUCCCCUAUCUUGAAGAGUGGAGUCCCACGCAACGACGACAGAAAUUAGCUUGAUGACGAGAUGAUGUAUAUACUUCUCGCCCCUCGUUGGUUACCCCAAGUGGAAGGUGGAGGUGUAGUCAGCAUAAAAUUUCCCUUACACGGAGACUGUAAGGUUUAUCAAACCAGGAGAACUCCUAGGCUCAACAAGUAGGUGUCUUCCACCCUGUAGCUAGCAGAAGACGUGGACCUGCACACACAACAAAUAACUUUGCUCCCAACGAGUACACGGAGGUUUUCAAUCUCUCCGGCCUUGUAGUUUGCAAAGGAUCAAAACACAAGCGGGAAGAUAAUAGUGAUUGCAACAGAAAAGUAAAUGAAAGCGGUAAAUGAUGGAGGUGUAAACAAUGAUGGUGAUAUGGACCGGAGUCACAUGACGUUCACUAGUGAUGUCUCUCUCCCAAAAGACAAUAAACAACUAUGCUAGGGUAAACAAAUCACAGUUGGGCAAUUGACAGAAUUAUGAUCGCACCGCAAUGGUAAGUAUGCUCCUUGAUAGUUAGAGGUUCAAUAGUAAUAGGCAAUACGCCGAGACAAGUAGACCGUUUAUUCAUCAUCAUGUACUUACUAAUCAUCCACCUUGAGAUAUCUAUCCAGAACAUCUCUCCGGUAUUAAGUUGCGAGUCCCACCCAAAGUGUAAACUCAGAGCAACGGACAACUACAUUAACGAACUAUGCGUAAGGUAAACAAUCUUUGCAACCAUGGUCAGAAGCACCGUUGUUUUCUCCCUGGUGGCAUCAAGCACAUGCCCUAGUCCCAUGUUUCUGUCACUCAAGCUAGACAUCGAGGAGCCCAAACCCACAAUCAUGCAUAACGCUCCCUCUUGGAGUUACGAUCUACUACUUGGCCAAAGCAAUAAAAAGCAACGGAGAACAUGUAAGAAUCACUAAGGAACAUAAUAUAAAAGGAUAAUCAAAUAUAUAACUUAUAACAAUCUGAACAUAAUCUCAUAAUCCAUCGGAUCCCAACAAACCGAGCAUAGCAAUAGCAAGAGAAUUACAUAGAUGCCUUGAUCAUGUAGGGCAGCUCACAAGGACUAACCAUUGAAGCACAAGAUUGGAGAGAAGACAUCACAUAGCUAUUGGUCAUGGACUCAUGGUCCAAGGGAAACUACUCACGGCACAUUUGGGAGGCGUCCAUGGUGGUGGAGAAGCUCCCGAAGGUCAAUCCUCCCUCCGGUAGGGUGCCGCGAAGAGGUCUCGUGAUGCUCCCAAUCUCGGAAGUGCUACGGCGGUGGAACGAUGGAGAAAUUCACGAUUCCAAAAAAGUCUGCGAGGGUUUCCUCAUGGAACACUAAAUAUAAGCUAAAGAGGGCAGCAGAGGAGGUGGGUCCCACAGAGGCGACCUCAUGGCGCUGCCCGGGGCCUAGCCACGCUAGCAAGCCGCCUGGGAGGACCCUGCCCCCCUCUGGCCCUCCUUCGGUGAUCCCGAAGCUUCAGUUUCGCUGAUUUUUUUAUAUAUUUUUCUGGAUUUUUUCGGGCUUCGGAAAAUUGGGUAAAAGCCCCUGCAAAAAAGACAUCAACAGACAGAAACUGGCACUGGGUGCACUAAGUUAGUAGGUUAGUCCAAAUAUGUGUAAAAUAAUAUAAAAGUGUAGCAAAACAUAUAACAAUGUCACCCAAAAGAUCAUGGAACAAGCAGAAAUUAUAGAUACGUUUGGGACGUAUCAGAUGGAUACCCAACUGUUUUGGGAGUCUUAUGAAGAUGCAUUUAUCCGCAUUGGAUUCGAGCUUAUCAUGUAGAAACUUUUUCACAUAAGCGUCACAGCCCCAAACUUUUAAGAAAUGACAGCUUAGGUUUCUCCAAACCAUAGUUCAUUACGGUGUCAUCUCAACGGAAUUAUGUGGAGCCCUAUUGAAAGUGUAUGUGGUUAUGUCUAAUGCAUAACCCAUAAACGAUAGUGGUAAUUCGAUAANNNNNNNNNNNNNNNNNNNNNNNNNNNNNNNNNNNNNNNNNNNNNNNNNNNNNNNNNNNNNNNNNNNNNNNNNNNNNNNNNNNNNNNNNNNNNNNNNNNNNNNNNNNNNNNNNNNNNNNNNNNNNNNNNNNNNNNNNNNNNNNNNNNNNNNNNNNNNNNNNNNNNNNNNNNNNNNNNNNNNNNNNNNNNNNNNNNNNNNNNNNNNNNNNNNNNNNNNNNNNNNNNNNNNNNNNNNNNNNNNNNNNNNNNNNNNNNNNNNNNNNNNNNNNNNNNNNNNNNNNNNNNNNNNNNNNNNNNNNNNNNNNNNNNNNNNNNNNNNNNNNNNNNNNNNNNNNNNNNNNNNNNNNNNNNNNNNNNNNNNNNGAAACAAUUUUCACAUUGUCUUAAAUGUGUGCCAAACUUGCAACUCAGAUAUUCACCUCCACGAUCAUAUCAUAGACAUUUUAUCCUCUUGUCACAACGAUCUUCAACUUCACUCUAAAAUUAGUUGAACCUUUCAAUAAUUCAAACUUGUGUUUCAUUAAGUAAAUAUACCAGUAUCUACUGUGACGCCCUCGAUUUAAUCGUACGCUAAUCAUACACGCAAGUGCAUAUGAUCAAACUCAAGGACUCAAGGGAAGAUAUCACAACACAACUCUAGACACAAAUAAAACAAUACAAGCUUCAUAUUACAAGCCAGGGACCUCGAGGGCUAAAAUACAGAAGCUCGAUAAACACACGAGUCAUCGGAAGCAACAAUAUCUGAGUACAAACAUUAAACAUGGGGUGCCUUAGAGAAGGCUAGCACAAAAGAAACACGAUCGAACGAGGCGAGGCCUCCAGCGUGGGAACCUCCUAAACUACUCCGGCUCUUCAGCGGCUCCCACGAAGAAGACACCAACAGGGGGGGGGGGGUNNNNNNNNNNNNNNNNNNNNNNNNNNNNNNNNNNNNNNNNNNNNNNNNNNNNNNNNNNNNNNNNNNNNNNNNNNNNNNNNNNNNNNNNNNNNNNNNNNNNNNNNNNNNNNNNNNNNNNNNNNNNNNNNNNNNNNNNNNNNNNNNNNNNNNNNNNNNNNNNNNNNNNNNNNNNNNNNNNNNNNNNNNNNNNNNNNNNNNNNNNNNNNNNNNNNNNNNNNNNNNNNNNNNNNNNNNNNNNNNNNNNNNNNNNNNNNNNNNNNNNNNNNNNNNNNNAGGGGGGGGGGGGUGCAGACGUCGGCAUGAAACUCCAUCUCCUGGGCUCCAUCGUCUAGUCGCAACAAUGGGUCAAGGGGACAAGGGGGGAGCAAAGUAACGGUGAGUACUCAUCCAAAGUACUCACAAGACUUAUAUCAGAACUAAGCUAAGUAUGCAUCAAUAUCAAAGAAGGGGGGGGUUAUAUGUGGACUGACAACAACAAUGCAAGAAUAGAGAGAGAAGGCCUAGUCCUAUCGAAGACUAGCAUCUUGAGGGUCUUUGAGCAAUAGACGAGAGUAGAGCAAGGUAACACAAUUAAUAGUCAUAUUUUUUUAGCAAUAUUAAUAUGAGAUCACGCCCAGAGAUCCUUCCUCGACUACCUGCGAGGAAGCAAUCCUGGGGCAACUAAUUCCAGUUAAGUAUCAAUUGUAGUUGUAUAAGAUCAGGGCACAACUCCAAGUCGUCCUGUAACCGUGGACACACCUAUUCAAAUAGAUAAGUUCUUCCCUGCAGGGGUGCACAACAUAUUCCCCGGCGCGCUCGAUAACACUCUGGCUGGGCACUCUUUUCUGGGUCCUUCCCGGCCUCGGAAUAUCGACACGUCGCAAUCCCACCUAAGGUCAGCAGAGAGGACAGCCCGCCGGUCUAACUCCUAAGCACAGAGGGUUCGUGGGCCCACUUCCCCUCCGUGCUCCUGCAUGAUGCGUGGGCGGCCGAUGUCAGUCCUAGAACCCCUUAAUACAAGAGUGAUGCAUCUCGGGACCACUCAGGCGCGCGCUGCUCCAUCGCUGACGUAUGAAGAGCUUCGGCUGAUACCGCGAUGUCGAGUACCCAUAUUUCUUCCCACGCAGACGGUUAGUGCGUAAUAAGGCCUUCCGACCAACCCAAAUCAAAUACCAAAAUCCAUUAUCAUUUUAAUUAAGUCAUCGACACAAACACGCGGGAAUCCACCCGCCUAACAUAUAUUCAUCAAAGAUCCCAGUAACAUGGUCAAGUAACUGUGUGGUUAUAACAUCAGGGGGAUCCGAGGCAUCACCCUCGUUGGAUCUCGAACGAUGUAACCGUCAAGGUGGGCCUAGAGGAAUCACCCUCGAGGGUCCCACACUUGAGGGGUUGCACGACAGAGGCAUCGCUGGGAAUGGUGAAAGAGGAAUCACCCUCGAUAACCAUGACCGACUAGCUGUACUACAGAGAUAUCAUCACGAGUACUUCGCGAGGUGUCACCCUCGGUACCCGAUAGUAUCUUUGUAGCAUCGCACAACUAGGGGGUGUAAGUGUUGUGUCGGGUCUGGCUCGUCGAUCAGGGAUCGAGACUUGAUAAUUAAUCCGGGCAACUAGACUACGGGUUCAGAGGGGAAGACUGAUCCACCUAUACUAAACAGAUUAAAACUAUAGUACUGAAAGUAGCAGUUCAUCAAAAUUAGGCUAUGCAUCAGAUAUAGGAGCUAACUACAACAGUAGCAAAAUUCUAAUGCAAGCAUGAGGAAGAAAGAAUAGGCGAUAUAGGGAUGAUCAAGGGGGUUUGCUUGCCUUGUUGCUCUGCGGCGAAAGGCUGGUCGUCAGGAGGGUAGAUGUACCCGGCAACAACGUCAGUCUCGGGGUCUACCAGUAAUAAGAGGGUGGAGAAACAAUAAAUAAUAGCAACAGAUGCACCACUAAGCAUGACAUGGCAAUAUGCGGGCUAGGCAUGAGCUAACACAGCAACAUCCGUCAUAGACGGGUCGGAAUAAUAUGUGACGAUAUUUUUCGGGUCUCGGGCUACUACCGGCUAGACUGAAAACGAUGGAAAAGUUCCACGUUUGCUAUGCUAGGGACGCGUGACAGAUGAAUGGACCGCGUACCUGAGUUCGUCUCAUUGUGCUGAUCAACUUUCAUGUUGAAAAUAUUUUGAUCUGGCUUACGGUUUAUUUAUAUUAAUUUUUAAAGUUUUAUUCGAUAUUUAGGAAUUAAAAACAGAUUUAAUUAAUUCAAUUAAAUGCAAUUAUGACAUCAACAUGAUGCCAUGCUAACAUCAGCAUUUGACUGGUCAACUGACCAGUGGGUCCUACGUGUCAUUGACACAAUUUAUUAAUUAGGGUGAAAUAUUAAUUAAUUAGAUUAAUUUAGUGGGGGACCCACGUGUCAUACUCUGAUAGGAUAAUUUAAUUAUCCUAAUUAUUAGAUUAUCUUAAUUAUGUAUUUAAUUAAUUAACAAAUUAAUCAAAUAAUAUAUGUAAUUAAUUAAUUAAUUAUUUUAUUAAUAAAAACACAUUUUUUUUUAUUUUUAUGCCUUUUUUGUUCUCUUUCUACAUACAUGCAUACAUACUCAAUACAUACAUACAUACAUGCACAUCUAUACAUACAUACAUAUAUCACCAUUUUUAUUUUAUUUACAUCACAACUCUCUCUCUCUCUCUGCCAACUCUCUCCUCAACUCUCUCGCAUCUCUCUCAACAGAGAGAAAGGAGGCAACCUCCACCUCCACCUACAUGAGCUCAACGGCGUCGGAACGCGGCGGUGUUCGCCAGAACGGAAUCGGAACGGGGGUAAGGAGGAGAGGGUGGCCGGGGCCCGGAGUGUUGGAACUAUGCCCUAGAGGCAAUAAUAAAAUAGUUAUUAUUAUAUUUCUUUGUCCAUGAUAAUCGUUUAUUAUCCAUACUAUAAUUGUAUUGAUUGGNNNNNNNNNNNNNNNNNNNNNNNNNNNNNNNNNNNNNNNNNNNNNNNNNNNNNNNNNNNNNNNNNNNNNNNNNNNNNNNNNNNNNNNNNNNNNNNNNNNNNNNNNNNNNNNNNNNNNNNNNNNNNNNNNNNNNNNNNNNNNNNNNNNNNNNNNNNNNNNNNNNNNNNNNNNNNNNNNNNNNNNNNNNNNNNNNNNNNNNNNNNNNNNNNNNNNNNNNNNNNNNNNNNNNNNNNNNNNNNNNNNNNNNNNNNNNNNNNNNNNNNNNNNNNNNNNNNNNNNNNNNNNNNNNNNNNNNNNNNNNNNNNNNNNNNNNNNNNNNNNNNNNNNNNNNNNNNNNNNNNNNNNNNNNNNNNNNNNNNNNNNNNNNNNNNNNNNNNNNNNNNNNNNNNNNNNNNNNNNNNNNNNNNNNNNNNNNNNNNNNNNNNNNNNNNNNNNNNNNNNNNNNNNNNNNNNNNNNNNNNNNNNNNNNNNNNNUGAGAUCAUAUAACUCACUGACACCGGAGGAAUGCUUUGUGUGUAUCAAACGUCGCAACGUAACUGGGUGACUAUAAAGAUGCUCUACAGGUAUCUCCGAAGGUGUUAGUUGAGUUAGUAUGGAUCGAGACUGGGAUUUUUCACUCCGUGUGACGGAGAGGUAUCUCGGGGCCCACUCGGUAAUACAACAUCACACACAAGCCUUGCAAGCAAUGUGACUUAGUGUAAGUUGCGGGAUCCUCUCCCNNNNNNNNNNNNNNNNNNNNNNNNNNNNNNNNNNNNNNNNNNNNNNNNNNNNNNNNNNNNNNNNNNNNNNNNNNNNNNNNNNNNNNNNNNNNNNNNNNNNCUAGGGCAUAUUUCCAACAUUAGUCUCAUCUGAAACAAUGGCGCGUGCAAAAACCGUAGUGCAACGGUGAUUGUUGAGACCAACAAAAGGGAUAAAUGGCAUUCCAUACCUGUUCAUCUUGUACGUACUGUCGAACACAGUGACAUCGCCAUAGUCAAGAUAAUCCCGACGUGAUUGCGAAUCACACCAGAACAGGUUGUUCAGCCUACCUUCAGCGUCAACGGUAUGCUCAAAGGAGAAAUCUGGAUCCUUGUCCUUUCUAGCCAACAUGAUUCCUAUAGCAGUGUCAGCAUCACCUUGGACAAGCAGUUUCAUCUUCUCCCUGUAGCACAUAUUAUAUAAUUUCGUCCUUCCAAACCCUGUCUUAGCGUACGAACUGUACCUGCUGACAAAGUUAUCAAAAAUGAUAUGCUUUCUUAUCCAGCUCCUGUCAUAGCUAAAAUCUCUGCUUUCUGGAAAUCUUUGAUUACAUUGUGAGACCGUAGGAAAGGGACUUCGUCCGGUUUUGCAAGAACAUGGCUGUGAUCAUCGAAGAAACUGCUGACAUACCAAAGUCCACUCUUUCUAUCAAGCUUCACUUUUAAAUGGGCUUCACAGAAACAUCGACUUUCCGGUCUCAGUCUGCGGGUCCGGCCUUCCAUGGUUAAAAAUUUUGCCUGUCGUUUUCCUGCCCUGGAACAGAGAUACCUCCUCAUGCGUAAAACUUUUUGGGAACCUUUUCAAAAUCUUUUCAAGUCCCUCCUGAUACUGAAUCCACGAUCUUUGGCGUACUGGUUAUAGAACAUGUACGCCUCUCCUUCUGACCUGAAUGUCUUGGCCAUGACUUCCCAAUGCCUAUCCAAUGUCUCUUGCUGAUAUUCAUCAUAGCUGAUGUCAAGGUCAAAAUCAAGAUCGCCAACAUGCUCAUCGUUCCCAUUAGAACCAUCAACACCCCCCUGCAAAAUAAGACAUAUCACCAUGUUCAUCAGUCUUUUGAUAUGUUAGUUUUCAUGAGUAAUUUGAACAUGUAAUAUAACUUACUUCGCUCAUAUUUCCUUCAUUAGAUGCAUUGUCAUCAUCCUCAUCAUUAUCACCAUCCUCAUCAUUGUUAUCAUCCUCAUUAUUGUCAUCAUUCUCAUCAUUGUCAUCAUGUAAGGUUCUCGUCUCAGCGUCACCAUCGGUAUUUCUCCGUACAGAUUCAAAAGUGUAAGUGGUAAUACAAUUUGUAUGUUAGUAAUAAUACAACAACAUAUUUAAAACAUACCUGGGUUCCACUUUCAGCAUAAGAUUGAUCAUCGUUGUCAUAAUCGUCAUUGUCAUCAUUAGCAUGCACCUAUUUAAAUUCAAUAGCAAUUGUAAGUGAUAAUGUAAUAACUUAUAUUUUCAUUAUUUAUAGUCAACGUACACAACACUUACAUUACCACUAUAUGAUUCAUCCUGACUCAUAUAGUUGUGUCCGAGUGAUUUAUUUGCAUUCAGUGACGAAGAUUCAUCAUCACUACUAGAGUCAUCACCAGCAUAUCCGGUGUUGUCUUGAUCUAUUAAUAAACCUUUCAAUAGGUAUUGUAUCAAUGUACAAUGAAAUCGUGAAAAAUUAUAUGGAUUAAAUGAAAAAACUUAGUGUUCGUCGUCGAAGGGUUGAUCGACAUCGUUCGACGUCGGUGCCACGUCGGUCACUUCAACCGCCGGCGUCGAAGCGGAGGGAGAGGGUCACGUCGCCGGUGGAGAUGUGUGCUGCGACGUACCGGCGGCGGCGGAGACGAGACGUCAGCGGUGGAGGCGACGUGUGCUGGACUUGCGGCGUCCGCGGAGACGUGGUGGGGGGAGCCACGUCGGCGAGAUCGCGGCGGCAGUGUCGCGGCAGCGGAGUCGCGAUGGCGGAGUCGGGCGUGAUGAAGUUAGGUUUUUUUUAUCAACCAAACCAGCGAUGCGUGGGUGACGUGGCGUAUGUACGACGGGCGGGCGGACGAUGCGACAUAUACGGUACAUAACGUGCAAUGACCAUACUGCCCUUAUACGUUUAGGAGGGGUUGUACCGAAGAAGACCUCGUCAAUAAAUUCUUCCUUCCAGCAAGAGAGCCCUUACAGAUUUAUAGCUUUUGGUCUAAUAUUAUAGAGAAGGCAUGCUUACAGGGCCUAAUUUUACUAAGUGAACAUUUAUGUAUUGAUCUCUACAUAUUUUUAUUAGAGGUAAAUACCACGCAUUGCUUCUCCAAGUAUUCAUACAAAAUUGUAGAUGCAAAUGGCGUUUAAUCUAUCUUCUAGGGUUUAUAUUCAAAACUCUUCUUUCCUUAUGUAUUUUUUUCAGAAUCGCUUUUAUGUUUUCCUAAGAUCUGUGCGAAAACAACAUGAGCCUUUGCUGAUUGGUCUGGGACGGUGAAGUGUUAGUGGCAGUGUAAAUCGUUAAAGGGGGCAGCGGCGUCUUCGUUGCUACAGUUACAGAAUAUGCGGAGUCAUGUCAAAUCUUGCAAGGGAGCCUGUAGUAGGAGGCGGCAAAGUACUGGUUGUUGCCAUAGUAUCCAUAAUGUACGUCCUUCUUAAUAUGCAUGCAGUUUGUAGCUGUGUGUCUAACACAUUUUUAUGAUUUUUCUCUCGCAGGAAUUGUGUGAACACCAACCUCACACAUUCGCAUUUGUCAGUCUUGGGGAUUAUCACGAUGUGGUGACCUGCUAGGACGGGUGAUAUUUAUCUCUCUUCCUUGCAUCUCAUGCUUUAAAUUGGGUGUUGUUUGGUUUGUCCAGAUUUAUCACUAUGUUCUGAAGCGACUAAUCAAUGAACUUCACAAGACAGCAUGUUAAAUUUUAGAAUUUUCUUACAAUUUGUGCUUUUUUUAUGAAUUUUCAUUAAAAAACCCGUACAAAUAGAUGCCGGACGUGACGCAACGUGCGUUUGGUCCCCGAUUUCGUUGAAUUUUUGCAUUGGCAUCAUUGCAUGUCCAUUCUCAGGUGCGGGCAAAAGUUAGGUGAAUUUCAUGAAUGCAUGCAUGUACUUCAUGUGCAACCCACGGGUGUCGGUAUGGACGGAAGGGUGCUACAACGCCAUCUUGCAACUACCCUUCAUGAAAAAUUUCAUUUUUUUUUCCACGCUUCACGAUAAACUUCACAAGGCGGCACGUCAAAUUUUAGAAUUUUCUGACAAUCUGUGCUAUUUUUAUGAAUUUCCAUUCAAAACCGGCACAAACAGAAGCCGGACGUGACGCAACGUGCGUUUGGUCUCCGAUUUCGUUGAUUUUUUGCGUGACAUCAUUGCAUGUCCAUUCUCAGGUGCCGGCAAAAGUUGGAUGAAUUUCAUGAAUGCAUGCAUGUACUUCAUGUGCAACCCAUGGGUGUCGGUAUGGACGGAAGGGUGCUACAACGCCAUCUUGCAACUACCCUUCAUGAUUUUUUUUUUCUUUUUUUUCCAUGCUUUAAGAUGAACUUCACAAGGCGACGCGUCAAAUUUUAGAAUUUUCUGACAACUCGUGCUAUUUUUAUGAAUUUCCAUUCAAAAACCGGCACAAACAGAUGCCGGACGUGACGCAACGUGCGUUUGGUCUCCGAUUUCGUUGAAUGUUCGCGUGGCAUCAUUGCAUAUCCAUUCUCAGAUGCCGGCAAAAGUUGGGUGNNNNNNNNNNNNNNNNNNNNNNNNNNNNNNNNNNNNNNNNNNNNNNNNNNNNNNNNNNNNNNNNNNNNNNNNNNNNNNNNNNNNNNNNNNNNNNNNNNNNNNNNNNNNNNNNNNNNNNNNNNNNNNNNNNNNNNNNNNNNNNNNNNNNNNNNNNNNNNNNNNNNNNNNNNNNNNNNNNNNNNNNNNNNNNNNNNNNNNNNNNNNNNNNNNNNNNNNNNNNNNNNNNNNNNNNNNNNNNNNNNNNNNNNNNNNNNNNNNNNNNNNNNNNNNNNNNNNNNNNNNNNNNNNNNNNNNNNNNNNNNNNNNNNNNNNNNNNNNNNNNNNNNNNNNNNNNNNNNNNNNNNNNNNNNNNNNNNNNNNNNNNNNNNNNNNNNNNNNNNNNNNNNNNNNNNNNNNNNNNNNNNNNNNNNNNNNNNNNNNNNNNNNNNNNNNNNNNNNNNNNNNNNNNNNNNNNNNNNNNNNNNNNNNNNNNNNNNNNNNNNNNNNNNNNNNNNNNNNNNNNNNNNNNNNNNNNNNNNNNNNNNNAGUUGGGUGAAUUUCAUGAAAGCAUUCAUGAAAUUCAUGUUUAAGAAAAAUUAUAAGUUAUUUAUAUAUUAUGUAAGAAAAAAUAUUUAAAAUAAUUUCAUGAAUGUUUAUAUCGUUUAAAAAACUUUUUACAUCUUAAUAUAAUUUCAUGAAUGUUUAUAUCGUUCAAGAAAUAUUAUAAGUUGUUUAUUUUUGUUUUUUUAUUUUUUGUAAAUUUUAUAUAUUAGAUAAAAUUUAAAUAUUUAGUUAACUAAUGUAAACAAUUUAAAUAUUUCAAAUAAAUAAUAAUAAUAAUAACAAUGUAAACAAUGAAUUUAGAUUCAUAAUAAACUUAGAUAAAUUUUCAUAGUUUCCGAUUACAUUCGAACAUAAUUGAAAACUAAAAAUAGAAUUCAAUUAAACAUUACUAAAUUCUAAAAAUCCUAAUCUAAUCAGAGUCGAGGUAGACGACGGCGGGCCCGUCCACCGCGCCGUCGCCGUCCCCGCCGUCGUCGUCGGAGCUGUUGGCGAGGGCGUCCUAGUCGACGUCGUCGUCAUCGUCGACGGGCGGCGGGUUGCCGCCGCUGCCGCCGUCGCCUGGAUCGCCACCGCGAUCUCCGCCUCUUCCCUCGCCGCCGCUGCCGCCAUCGCCUGCGACGCCCUCAUGGCGACGAGUAGCCCCGGCGAGUCGUCGGGGUCGCCGUCCUCGCGGAGGACGAACUGUUCCGACGACACCUCGUACUCCGCCGGGACAGCCGGGGCCACCACCGGGGCCGCCGGAGGUGGGUGGGGGAUCGCCGCCCGACGGCGACGCGGGACGCCCUCGCCACUGUCGCCGCCUGCCGCCGCCGCCUUCCGGCAACGCCUGAUGACGUCGUUGUAGUUUUUCCCAUCCCAAAAGGCGUGCCGGCCGUGGGUGUUGUAGCGGCCGCCGGGGUGGACCCGGAGCUGCUCCGGCGUCGCGGGGUUGGUCAGCGUCGGAUAGCCGUCCUUGCAAAUCCUCCAAGGUUUUGCAAGGCGGCACCCUGGCGGGACGAGGAGGCCGAAGUUGAACAGCUCCUGCGUCAGCGACUUGUCGAGGCUCUGGGGCCAGUUGCUCUCCGGCGCGCCGCCGCUGUCGGAGCUGCCGCCGCCGACAUGGUCCAUCGCCGGGUCGUCGGAGAACGGGGAAGGGAGGAAGAGAACUUCGGGACGACGGGGACCUGCGGCGGAACGACGAAGAGCGGGGGAGAGAAGGAGAGCAGGGGAGCAACGGGUGUGCCGACGAGCCGCGGGACGAUGGGUAUAUAUAACGCCGCGACGGGAGGGGAGGCGACGGGGCAGCUGGCCGGCGUAACUCCCCCGGAGUGAAUGCGCAUCGCCUCGGGAGCCGUCGAACCAACGGGCCAGCGGCGACGGCCUCGGGAACCGACGCGACUGGGCUAUGACGACGGGGCCGCCAUUAAUGGCGUCGCCUCGGGAGCCGCCGAACCAACGGGCUAACGGCGGCAUCGGACGACGCUGACGCGGUGAUUAAUGUCGUCUUUCGGGAACCGACGCGGCGAGCUGGCGACGCGGUGGUUAAUGGCGGUGGCUUCGGGAACCGACGCGGACUGGCGACGCAGCGCGGGAUUAAUGGCGGCGGCGUCGGGAACCGACGUGAACUGACGACGCAGCGCGGGAUUAAUGGCGGCGGCGUCGGGAACCGACGUGAACUGACGAUGCAGCGCGGAAUUAAUGCCGUGGUCUCGGGAACCGACGGAUUGACCGCGGUUAGACCGACGUGGCGACGCCACAUCGCAGCGGAUGGGACGCGGGUACGACGCGUAUACCGGGCUCCUGUACGUCGCCGUUUCGUCAGCUGGCGCCCGUCGAGCUGACGCGCGUACGUCGGGACGGGGGAAAAGACAAUCCUGCCCUUUGUUACAAAGGGGUAUCGUUUAAUCUCAGCUGUCCUUGUGUUUGGGGGUUGUAUCGAAGAAGAAGUGUUUACUACAAAUUAGACAUCAGAUGCUCAUAUUUAAUUAGACAUCGGAUGUCUAGUGUAUUCUACAACAUGACUGCAGACGUGCAAUAUUGUCGAAGGGAAAAGGUGCUCUAAGAAGCUGAAUGAUAAACAUGUCACCAACAUACUUAGAACUUCCUUGGGUUUGUGCAGGCCACGAUAUGGAGGACAUGUCCGGUUUCACUAAGUCGACUAAACAUCUAUUGGAAUUGGGUUUCUUAUAGCUUUGAUGAAAAAUUAUCUUCUCUUAAUUUGAUGGUCAAGGUUCUAGAGCUCAUUGCUUCAAAUGGAUUAUCUCAAAGUUAUCAAUAAUAAGGUAUUAUGGAUUUUGUACAUAUUCAGGCCCUUCAAACAGUCUAUUGUGCGUCAAAGGUCACGUUCAACUCUGACAAAUUCUGCCGCAACCUUGUUCGUACGUGUACUUCGAUUUAUUUUUGUAUUGCUUUUUUGGGCGUUUGACAAAUGCUUCAUAAACUAAUCUCAUGUUAAAUAUACACAACUAUGUAAGAUAGUUUCACCUGUCUCUCAUGUACUUGCAGUAUGACAUCCAUUGCCAAUUUGUAUUGUUUCUAAACUGAAAUGAUGUCUUCUUGUUCACUGAUUCUCUCAUGUACUUGCAGUAUGACAUCCAUUGCCAAUUUGUAUUGUUUCUAAAUUGAAAUGAUGUCCUCUUGUUCACUGAUUAUGUGUGAACUGAAAUAAUGCCCUCAUGUACUACAUUGGUCUUUCAUAUGCUGGUUGUGCACACAUGGCAUUAGCUUGUCAUUUUAUACUUUAUUUGUUCACCUCACUAAAAAUGAAAAUGCCGCCUGAAACUUGUAAGCACGUGCUACCUUCGAUCUUCAGUUCUUUAAUAUAUUUUGUUAAGCUUACUUAUCGAGGUUAUCAUAAACCGUAACUAUCUAACACGCAUUGCACUCUCACGUGAUGUAGUAAUUCGCAACAGCAGUGCCACGGUUCAGUUCAGCAAGGAGGCCAACUACCUCUACAAUGUCCACUCCUACUGGUCUCUGACCUGUAAAACAAGAAGGGAUGGUGCUAGCUGCUGAAACGGAGAUGACCGUAGUCCUCUUGACAACGAAGACGAAGACGCAACAGACCAAGCCUUCUGCGUUCUCCACUCGCAUGUACAAGGAGUUCCGCGAGAUGGCUAACGCUGUCAAGAACCAGGUCACUAGUAACUACUACAUGACCAAACCCGUUCUUGCAAGGCUUUCAAUUUACCGCAACCUGGCAAAUGAUGAAUACAAUGAAUGAUGCGCUCAACAGACUUCUUGUGCCAGUAGGUUCAACAUUUUUACUCCAUGACUAUGUUUUCGGAACUGAUAGAAGCAUUUUCUUUUUUUUUAGAUAUGAAGGGACCAUUUGUAACCCCUCUGUGCCAUGCCUAUGUUCAUGAUUACUCCUUAUACUCAUGUUCAUUUUUUUGUUAUGUUUCUGAACCGUGUAUAUCAUCUAUGUGUGGGAACCGUUGGUGUUCUUUUAAAAAUAUAUAUUGUUGUGCAUCGAUUUCUUCAUGGUCAUUCCUUCUUUUAUUUUUCAAAAAAUUCAUAAUAUCAAUGUAAAAUUUAUAUUCACAUGACUGUUCAUCACAAUAAGAUAAUAUGUCUAUACCACUUGUCAAUCAUUGUUGGCAAGGAUUCAAAAAGGAUUUGGUCAAGAAAAUUGGGAUAUACUUUUUUGAAAAUUUCCCUUGAACAUUGUUGAUUUACUCAUGAUUGAUAAUAAAUAUGUUCACUAUAAAGUUUUAGUCCAAGUAACAUUUUUGUAUAACAACAUUGUUAGAUAUAUGUAUGGUCUCUCUUAUAUUAGCACAUAAUUAUAUUUUUGUUCAUUAUUUUCUAGAACGAAUGAUAAUUUUUUCACACAAUAAUACGUGUGCACGUGCACGCUUACCAGUGGAAAAGAAACCACUCCUUCGUUUCGCCUGUUUCAAAAAAAUAAAUAAAUUCAAAAACAAAAAAAAACCUCCUUCGUUUCGGGCCACCUUUCGCGGCGCGCCUCUCCUCGGCUUUGACCGCGCCCUCUCGCCCUAACCGCCGCAACGCCGCCCUCGCCUCCUGCGCGGGCGCCUACACUACGCACGCGCGCCUACCUGUGGCUUGCCCUUCUUCCGCCAUGGCGACCGACCCCGGCGGCGACGCGUGCCCGCUCUGCGGCAGCGGGGAUGACCAGGCGGCGGUGACGGCCGGCCCUGCGCACGUCACGCUCCGCAAGCGGAACCUGCCCGCGGAGGCCGUUGCGCGGCUGGGGCCCGGCGACGAGGCGGCCGUACUGCGUGAGGCGGUCGCGUGGCAGCAGAGUGGCAUGGCGGAGCUGCAGGAGGAGCUCGAGGCGGAGCGCGGCGCCGCUGCUGAGGCCGCCAGCGAGGCCAUGUCCAUGAUCCUGCGCCUGCAGCGCGACAAGUCCGAGGCCAUGAUGGAGGCGCGCCAGUUCCGGCGGUUCGCCGAGGAGCGGUUCGCGCACGACGCCGCCGAGGUUGCCGCCCUCCACGUCGCCAUGGCGCAGCGUGAUGCCUCCAUCCAGUCGCUCUCCGCGCAGCUCCGGGUGUGCCGCUCCCGCCUCAUCCAGCUCGGGUUCGUUUCCCCGUCGUCCCUCCCCUCGUAUCCCACGGCCGCCGCGGGGGAUCACCUUUUCGCUGACGACUGCCCUUCCAUCCAAUGCCUCGAUUAUCCGGCCCGCUCAGACGUCGGUAGUCCACGCACCCACCACUUGUUCUAUACAAUGCCCGGCCGAGCUUCCCAUAAGGGUGUCAUCUGCGCUUCACCACGGCGCCAGUGCCAUGGGCGCGCACUCUCCAAUGACAGCUUGUAUGACGGCGGCAUUUCAGCGGCUGAUGAGUUACCGUUCGUGGUGGAGCGGGACGUGUCGGACCAGGACAAUGACUGCGACCCGGUGUAUACUGUCGAGGCAGUGCAUCGCGUGCCUGUUGCCGCACCUGAGGACUGCUGCUACUUUCAGACACCGAUGGGAAACGACGUGGGCUUUGGUGGGGUUGGGGUGUGGGCUGAGGAGCAGGAGAUACAAAAGCUCAGUGCAAGGUUACAAGCACUGGAGGCAGAUCGGGAGUCGAUGCGGCAUGCAAUCAUGUCGAUGGGAGCAGAGAAGGCGCAGGUUGUGAUGCUCAAAGAUAUUGCUCACCAGCUCUGUGAGGAGGCGUCACCAUUGCCUGCAGUUUCGUUGAAAUUGCAUCCAGUGCCACAAGCGGUGGUAGGGCCACAGAGGAAGGUGGUGAAGAGGCAGCCUUUCUGCAUCAAAUUCUUCAUUGUGACCGUAAUUAAGGUAAAUUCAGCUGGUCUCGUGCUUCUAUAAAUUCUAAGUUUGUUCAUAGUGAUCCAUCAGUUAUAAGUAAACCGAUACAUUAAGGUAUUCUUCAUUUCUUCAUGUCGUAAUACUGGUUUUUGAGCAAACCACACGCACUAUAAUAGUAAUAAUCUAGAAAUGCAACAGGGCACUGCUGGUGGACCCAGGAAUAAAUUGAAGGGUGUGCAAACUAUUUUUUUUCCUACCUAAUCCAAGUGUAACAAAAUAUGGCAAAAGAAUAACGUAAAUAACUCAAUUCAAAUCUCACAACCAUUUAAUUCACAAAAUAUAUAUUCCAAAUGUGCUUAGUUACAAUACAAAAGGCUUACAUGGAAGAAACAGAAGUAAAAAAAAUUACAACACUAGGUAACUAUACGUCGUUGCAUUGCCAUGAAAGCAUCAACUAUGUCAUCUUCACUUACUUUCAUGAACACAUCUCGCUCAAUGAAUGUCACCAAGCAAUCAUUCAAGUGAUCAUCGCCCAUAAUAGUCCUUAAUUAUUUUUCACUGGAUUCAUUGCAGAAAAUACCCUUUUAACAAUUGCGGUUGCUACCGGUAAAAUCAAUAUCAAUUUGAUGAGUAAGUAGACCAAAUCAUAAAGAACAUGCUUUUUUGUUGCAACAAGCAAAAUAGAGAGCUCACCAAUAUUACUUGCAUUUCUAAACCUAUCAUAUUGUCUCAUAUCAUCAAUAAAAGUAGCAAUUGAAAUUCUAGCCUUAUCAAAUUCGUGCUUGAUAUGUCCAUGGGAUAGAUUCAACAAGUCUCAUUACCUUGAGUGCAUCAUAAGAAGCAAAUGAAUCGAGGGGAUUCAAAGGCGACAUGCAAAUAAGCAACUCCAUAUUAACCUCAUCAAACCGGCUGUCAAGCUCUUAAUACCUUGAGCUUUGUUGUGAAUGAUAUUAAUACCACCCUCAUGUUUGUGGUAGUAACCGCUAGGGUUCUACCGGGUCUAGGGCGGAGGUUGUAGGGGAUGAAGCGGAGUUGGCGAGGGCUGGAGCAUGG
rnacentral:lncRNA from 1 species